rnacentral:lncRNA from 1 species
UGACCCUCUGGUGGCCCUUCCUCCUCCUCGACCGCUCCUGAACCUUCCUCAUACUCAUCUUCAUCAUAGUAUUCGUCUUCAUACUCAUCCUCCAUUCCCCAACGAUAACCCUUUACAAUGAUGGCAGAAAGAAAAGGCACUGUCAAACAUGAAAGAAGUAAGCCCAUUUUACACCCCUGAACUUAUCAAGAAGUCCAAAAACACCCUGGACUUUAAAACCGGGCAAGAUGCCCCCACUGAACUUUUGAAAACCAUUCAUCCCGACCCCUCCCCCCUGGCAGUUUUGUACCUGGUUUUCAGUGGCGUUGAUUAAUUAGCUAAUUAAUUAUUAAACAGUACAUAAGAGUAAUUACUUAUCUAAGAACAAACAAAGCUAUCCAAUUGGUCAAAACAGUACAUGAACAAACAAAGAAACAAAAAACUCAGACCAAGAAGACAAAAUCAAGAUGAUCAUGCAAAAAAUUAGACAAAUACAUGCAUGCAUCCAGGACCCAAAUUAAGUAGUAGCAGUACUGCACUCAGCUAGAAGAGGCAGAAGAUCUUGCUGUUGUUGCUACCACAACUUGCUGAUACUCUAAGAUAAAAUCAGUAACAAAUUAGUAUACAGGUGACAGUGGCACAUAAUUUUAACUUGCUACACGGAAGAUGAAAUAGUAACAAAUUAAUACUCUAAGAUGAAGGAAUAAAUUAGCCGCAAACAAGCCACUACUGUCUUACUUGAGAUACGGCAGAGCAAAUCAUCACCAAGUUUCAGAAUAAAAUCACUAGACAUAAUUUCUAGCAAUGCUGCUAAUUUCAGAAUAAGACAGAUAGCACAACAGUUCUUACAAAGCAAAUUUCUCAAUAGAUCCAACCAAUACAAGAUUCAUGUCCUGUAAACAGAAGGAGAACAACUGCGCACACCAUAACACAUCAUCGAAGCUAAACUGAAUGAAACCCAUGGUACAACACAAAUAAACUUCUGCACUGUCCAAAACAAGACAAUCCAAAAUCGGCACAUCGAUUAUAAGUUUGGCACUACUACAAAUAUCAACACUAGUUAUCACCAAGAUGUUACUGCUACCGUGAGCAUACAGUGACUGCAUGUACAAAAGAAGGUAUAUUCUAACUAAGCAUAGCAGUGGGGAGCAUAUAGCAUUUCCAGCCAAGAACAUCAAGAAACAGAGAAGGGAGGAAGAAUAAAACCGGAUCGAAAUGCUUACCUUGCAAGAAGUCGAACUGAAGAGACAGUGGAGGAUGCCGUAGAUAGCCAAGAAAUAAGCAGAUCCGUCCCUUCCUCUGCAUAGCAGAUACAUAACGGACCAAAAAAACAGAUCAAGAAAGGCCAAGAAAACAGAUCAAGAACAGAAACGGACCAAGAAUGGAGAUGAGGAGCUUACCCCGCGUCGUGAGGUCGCCUUGCGUCGUCGCCGGCCGCCUUGGGUCACCGCCGCCGCCGGUGGCCUUCGACAGACGAGAGGAGAGAGCGGGCGGCUAGGGUUCGGGGUCGGGAGGAGAGAGCGGCGCGAGUGGGGAAAUAUGGCUAGGGUUCGGAAGAGCGGCGAGCAGAGACGUACCGCGCUUCGCUGCGGCGUUCGGUAUGGGUGGGGAGGCUGGUGGCCAGCGAAGGGAUGGAAAAGGAGGGGGCGGCAGGCGGCAGCCGGCAGCCACCGGAGAGAUGAGGGAGGGGCGGCGCCGGCGCUGACCUAACGCUGGGAGCGAGCGAAUGCAAGGGGGAGGGAGGGGAUCGGGGUUGGCUGAGGUCGGGACUCGGGGUCAGGGGCGAGAUUCUGGUUCUUUUUUUUUUUUUCGGGAUGGAGGUCCCUCGGAGAGCCGCCAAAGCCCUCAAUCCCACGGCUCCGCACGCAUAGGUGCCAACGGGCCGGCCUGGGCUCGUUAAGGCUCGGCUGGAACUGAGAAAAGGCCAUGUAGCAUAAGGCCCAACUAGGGAAAAAAAUUAAAAAAGAGGUGAAAACGCCAAAAUUGGAAAGACAAUGGGCCAAACUGUUGGGCUAGACCAGAUUUUUGGGAUUUAGUGACACAAAUAUUGGAAAAGAAAAAAAGAAAAAAAAAUCGGGCCGGCCCAGGUGCCUGAGGUUGAGGCCCAGGCUCGGCACAGGCUGUGAUUAAUUCCGUGACGGGCCAGGCGCAGUCAGGCUAAGCCCUCUGGGCUUUCGGGCCUUGCCACAAAGCACGGCCUGUUGGCCUCCUAUACUUCGCGGGGGAGUGCCUACUCCGUUUUUUUCAGUUCCUUCCGCACGCGCGAGGCUUUUUCCUCAUCCCAUCGCCCUCUUGCUGACACUCGCUCCCCUCCCGUCUACCCGUCGGCGGCCCAUCCCGCCGCCUCUCCCCAUGCGUCCUCCCGCUGCUCCUCUCACAUCCCGACGCCGCUGCCACCCGCCUUGGCCCCGGGAUCCAGAGGUGUCGCAGCGCCGCCCCGUCGCCGGCCGUACGGACGUAGCCUCAUGAGCAGUGCGAAAAGUACGGAGUACAUACCAACCAAAUGCAAUGCAUGCAUGGCGCCGGCCCUGCGUACGUACACCUGGCCGGCCGUAGGAACGUAUAGCCUCGUGCGUUAAUUGCAUUCAUGCACCGACCCACGUCUAUACAAAUCAACCACGCCAGACACACGUGCGGCAUGGCGGCCAGAUCAACCACGCCAGACACACGUGCGGCAUGCACCGGCCGCUGGCCGCCAUGCCUGCAUGCAUGCAUACGUGGUGUGCCUGCCAACCAGGCCAGCUGGGGUGCCAGCGCGCGCGUGAAGGCUGGACCUUUGUUCGAGCUAGACUCCGGUAUUUGGUGGAUCCGGCCGGCGCCGCGCGCGGACCGCCUUGGUGUCGACCCGAUCGAUCGAGCCCAUGCAUGCAGAGAUCGACUACGUUGUGUUCGUGUACGUAACCCCCACAAUGAAGCUAGCUGGUGCUGGCUACGUACUGGCUAGCUAGCUAUAGAUCUCGAUCGCUUUGGCACAUCGUCACAUCGACAACACAUGGCAUGCACGGUCACGGAGGAGCCAACGUAACUCUCUCUGCUCGACCGAGAGGCGUGUGCGUGAGUGCACGUCUGACCGUUUAAACCCAUCAUGCAUGCAACCCCACACUUGGCUCGCGUACGUACGUACGUUACGUGAUCAACCCCAUCCCCGUGCCCGUGCGUGCAUGGGGUGCAUGGAUUACGUGCAUUCUGUCUCGAACAAACAAAGGAAUAAUUUUCAAAACAUUUUGCAUGCAUGCGCCGGCAUAUACACAUGGUACGUACGUAUAUAUACACGCGAGCCGGCCGUACGUGCAGUGGGGUGUGCGACAUACAUGCAUGCAUGGUUGCAUGCCCGGGGGGUCGACAGCGAGCGGGCGCCGGACCUCUGUUCGAGUUUGACUCCGGUAUUUGGCGUGGAUCCACGUUUCCAGCCAAUAAUGCGAAGGCCGCCGGUAUAUUCGACGUACGGAUGCGGGUACGUGUCGACCGCUUCGUUUCCGGGCCCCUCCUCCGCCUUCGAUCGGUUGGCGCAUCGUCCCAUUGACACCACACGGCACAAUCAAGAUCCGCGCGCGUCUUCUGGUUCAUCUGAGACCUUCGUUUAAUCCCAUGCAUGCAGGAUAUCGUGAGUAUCCAAUUAGCUAGCUAGAUUAAUUUGCCCUGCACAAGUUAAGGCAUUUUCAUCAACCAAUAGGAGUAGAUGUUUUUUUUCUGUCUAGCUAGCAUGCAAUAGCCUAGCACUACUACAGAAAGAUUUAUCAGUAACGGUCGAAAAACAUCAUCAGUAACGGUCGGGGCCGCCGUUACUAACUUCGUGUUACUGAUGAUACCCAUCAGUAACGGUCGCCACGACCGUUACUGAUGUAUAUAUACAUCAGUGGCGGUCGCUCCUGCCCAACCGUUACUGAUGUAUAUAUAUCAUCAGUAACGGUCGCGUUUUCACAACAGUGUCGGUCGAGCGACCAACACUGAUACAUUUUCGGUAUUUAAAAAAAUAAUUAAAACCACAGAAAAUACACAGAAUAAUAUAUAUACAGCACAGAAAAAUGUAUCUCAUCACAGAAAAAUACAUAUAAAGCCGCAUCACAUCACAACACAUCACAUCACAUCAUUUAAAGCAUACAAUGUAUAUAAGCCGCAUCAUUUAAAGCAUAUAAAGAUUACAAAUGUAUCUCACUUCACGACAUUGAUUACAAAGUUUCAAAAUUUCAUAAAAGCAUAAUUACAAAGUGUCAAAAUUUCAUGAAAGCAUAUAAAGAAUACAAAUGUAUCUCAUUUCAAGCUUGAAUCUCUUGUCGUGGGUGAACCCAAGACACGACUUGUUCCACACGUUCGAAGAAGUCUCCACUAGGCUUGAUGACCUCAUUGUUUAUGAGAUGGACGAACUCCCUUUGAAUGUUAUAGACGACCCAUUUAGGUCGGUGUCACAUUGUCAUUCGGGGCCGUCAGUACUCUUACAUCGCCGCGACUGACCCCUUCCACUCUGGCUUGAACAUGCUGGCAUUCUUCAUAAGGACGUGACAGCCGUAGUAGCCAUAGAACACACUGUCGGGCGGCUGUUGCUGGCAAAGGAACCUGUGGUUGUGGUGAGACUCGUCUUUAUAACCUUUACCAGCUAGUUUUUCCUUGGUCACCAUUUUCCAGGCAGUGUUAAUGAGUGAUUUGAUGGGUUUUCAGAACCUACCUCGAACACACUUCUUCGGAAGUAGUGAAUCGAAGUAGUACACCGCGGACCAAGGCAAACAAAUGAGUAGUGUCACCCAAUGGUCUCUGUUUUCAAAAGAAACAAAUUUUACAUCUAAGAGUGUAUAAGAAAGACUGAAUUAGAAAAAACAAACGGUUCCAUAUAUAAAAUUGAACUUACUCCAAAUUAAGAGGUUGAUAUCAAACUUUUGGCGGUGUAAGAGGUGGAACAGUUCGUUGAACUCCACACCAAAGGUGAUAAGACGUUCCUGAAUCUUCCCGGUUUCUUGGUCAAAGAAGCCAUAGUCUUUUGGGAUUCUAACAUUGAUCUGUUGGGCAUGCCGUUGAGAACCAGCUGAUUCUUGCAUGUAGAACUGAUGAAGCUAUUGCAUCUCUCUGGACACGGCACGCAGGGAAUCUUCGGUGACCAUCGGUCUUCCAGGAUAGUAAAGAAGCACCCGGUCGAACUCCCUAGCCACGAAAUAGGAUCCGUCUUCGAAUCUCUGGCCUUAAUUUGGGUUCUUGAUGAGAAUGUCAGGCCUAUUGUCCUCCCAGACUCCAGUUAUGUCUGGCACGUGGUGCAUCUCAUCUUAAGUGACAUUGGAGAACUCCUUGAUGGUCUUGCCGCCGCACCCCCUCUUUUUAUGCCUCCUCUUACUGUCCCAUGCCUUCUGCUCCUCUGCCUUGUACUUGCCAUCGAUCUUGCGGCCAUCCAUGGACUCAGCGGCACCCAAGAGAGAGAAGGUGGUAGGGACGCUUCCAUCCUGUGCUGACCCUGUGGUCUCGCUAUCUUUGAGCUGUGCAGGCAUCGACAUUGCCCGCUCUUCAUCUCCGCCGGCAUCGACGGGAGGAAGUAUCCUAGGGGAAAGGCCGAGCGGCGAAUGAGAAGUACCUUUGUGGACGGAGGGAGAUGGAGUCAUAGAGGGCCGGCGCUGGUUGUAGAGAGAUACCAAGGUCCUAGGCCACAUAAUGCGGUAGUUUGGACAAUCGCCUAGGAUAUCCACACCUUCCUUUGGAGGUAGCGGGAUAGUAUAAUCCCAAUGCUCCUCAACGACGGAGUCCACCAUCACACUCACUUGUGCGUCGUUCAUGAGAAUGCCGUGCACCAGUGGCGGUGAUUGUCUGGGCAUCAGACGGCCAAUGACGCCUACAGGCUUCCUAGGCUUGUCAACGUGGAUACGACACUUCACCGGUGCCUGCGCGUAACAAGAAGAAGGCAUAUGUGUGUAAGAUCUUUAUUCAUGAAGGUUAGGAGUGAAAAAGAGUUUGAAAAGAUUGCUUACAAGGAUGUUGUCGCUCAGACCCGGAUCGUUAUCCCGGAUGCCCUCGCUUGGGGAAGGUUGGCUAGCGGGGGGGUUGUCCAUGCUACGAGCCGGGCUGUAACCAGGGGUGUAGGUGUCUUCGUCCUCCAUACGUUUGUCGGAGGCGGCGCUGCUCUUCAGCGGGGUGCUCUUUCGCGGGGGAAGAGGAGGAAGAGGAGGAAGGAGGUUCCUCAAACCUUCCACUCCUCCCCCGAUUAUGGCGUCAAGGGCGGGGUGGUCUUUGGCCAAUGCCGACACCAAAUGAUGGACGGCUUGCACUGCAUAUUCCCGCGACACCUCUUGAGACACGAUAGAUGCCUGCUCUCGCGCCUCCGCCUUAGCUUGUUCUAUUAUCUCAGAAGAAGCGGGGAGCUUUUUCUGGACCCUGCUUCGCUUCGGAGUAGGCGGGAAAUAAUCAUCCCAGCAGGCCCCUUCGCCUUCUCCUAGAACACGGCCCGUGUACUCCGCCUUUUGCAAGCCGGCAGUCACAGCCGACUCCCACCUCUUGCUCUGCACGGAGUUGUCGGAGGUUUCUGACAUCUUGCUCUCCUCCCAUUUGUGGGCAUUUGCCUGUUAUCAUAUAAGACAGGACGUGAGUCUAUAUGGAUCAGGAGUGUCAUAAUUAAAGCCGAAAACAACUAAAUGCACAUGAACCCUUACCGUAAAAAUUUGAACAGGCGGCUGCAUUGGCUCAAUGCCCGCCCACUCCUCGGGUGUCAUGUGCGGACGUGCAUAUUCUCUAGCACGUUGGUCCUCCAACAUGUCAUGCACUGGAGGCACCCUGCCUGCCGCCUCGAGAAUUCAGUACUGUUUGCGCCAGACCUUCUUCUUCCCCUCUUUCCCAGCACUCCCUAGCCUGUGGUUCAAGGGCUUCCUUGCGCGCAACGCUCUCAUGCGUUCACUCUUCGCAAUGAAGGCAGGGUCAUAUGAUUCCUUCUUGAAUUUUUCCCAUUCGGCCUCAUCAGUUACCGACGGCCAUUUCUUCUUGAUGAUCUCGUAGGGUUUGUCCAUCCACUUUCUAGCGGUGGUUUUCCAAUUAGCAAGUCCAUUGCGGACUGCUAUGUUGACGGCCGUUAAAAAUCGCUCGCGCCACUCGUCAGUGACUUGUAACCUCCUUGCAACGUCCGCGAUGCACGUGUUUCUAACGACUUCGGAGAUGUCACUCCACUCGUCGGUGAUCUUGCAAUACUUACGUGCAACGGCUCCACAGGUCGUUGCGAAGGCCUUUUGUGCCCUCUCAGGCGACUCCGGGCAGCCCCUCUUAGAGUGCCGGGUGACCACGUGACAGAACUCCUUCAAGUUGUUGUUGGGGAACGCGGUAUGCUACGCUAGCACAAAAUAAAAUUUUCUACCGCUUCCGCCCGGAUCAAUGCUGUAGAUAAUGGAUCACGAGAUUACCACUAGACGCGCAGACCCGUAGCGGAAGUAGAGUCGAUGUAGCGCGUCGAUGCCGAGUAGUCGAACAGCCUGCUCCUCCUCGCCGAUCCCACGAACAGUUCGUCCAAGCGCCGCAGGUGCAGCGCCUCCGAGGUAUCCACACGUACAGGGAGGAACUCCGUGCGGCGGACUGCUAGAUCCGAUCGCAAGGCUUUGGGCGUGGAGGUGCGACGGCCGAGUCUAACUCGCGUCUGAACUGGGGUUCACCCUAGACGGGUUGGUCUCCUCCACUUAUAUAGACGUCCCUAGUGGGCUCAACACUUGAGGCCCAUUAGGAGUCCAAGCCCGAUACGAGUUGGAUCCGAUCCAACUCGGUUCCUACCCCUUAAGCGUGUGACCCUUCAGGUUCGCGGUCAGUCGGCCACGACUACAAGCUCGGACCGCGGGCCCGAGUAACACCUUACUCGUCCACUGGCACCGACUCAAGUCGAUAGUUGGUAGCGGCGCCUAGCAGCACGUGCCAACUCCCGAGUAACCACAAGGUAUAUUGACGAACCAUACAAUGUGUCAUAUGCAACAUUCCUUUUGCCUCGCGAUAUGUGUGUCGAGCUCAAGGCGAGUGCGUGUCAUCCUUGUGGAUAGCUCGAGUCUCUUCUCGUUCCUGUGAUACAGAUUCCCGAACGGGUUAACACUUAACCCAAGUCACAUGGCCAUGCUUUCCGAAUCUGAUCACUCGAGAGGGCCCAGAGAUAUCUCUCCGAACAGGAGGGGCAAAUCCCAUCUUGAUCAACCAUGACUCGCAGCAUGCUUCUCAGCAAACCCGAAAACUACCUUUAUAACCACCCAGUUACGGAGUAGCGUUUGGCAACCCCUAAGUAGGCCGAUUCACAUCCCAAGCUCAUACGAUGACCUCAGGUCUAGGACUGGCAUAUACAUCGUACUUGAGACUAACAAAUGACAAUCAUCUCGUUGUGUCUCAGUGCGGGUCUGUCCGACUCAACAAUCUCAUUUUCGAGUCCAUGCUAUCAGUCGGCAACACCUUGCCCUAUGACUUGUGAAACAUAGUCAUCAUACUGAUUCACAUUGCUAGUCUAGAUUAUGUAUCCGCAUAACCUCAAUGACUAGGGACCAUUAGAACAACAUCAUAGAAUACAUAGUCUCACAAACAAAUCACGUAUUUAUUGAUACAUAUCAGUGAUGAUGUUCAAGGACAAUAACAAUAACUCAUGAAUACAUAGGAAAUAACAUCAUCACAUAAUUGCCUCUAGGGCAUAUCUCCAACAGUUGUGGCUCCCCCUCGGCGUCUUCUUCCUUUGCUUCUUACCGGGAGUUUCAGAACUGUCUUCCACCCGUCGCUCGUUGUCGCGCUCUUCUGAACGAGAGCUACCUGAGCCAGAGCUGGCAAUUUGCUCUCCCGAUGAAGACUCUUCAUUGACACGAUCUACCUCCUCCCGAUCAAGAACAGGUUUCUGGCUACUCUUGCCCAUUUCGAACUAUGCCAUCAAAACCAUCAAAUAUAUAUCGGCCGAAAAUUUCGGCAUGAUCUAUGCUAAAAAACUAGAAAUUUUUCUCUACUAAUAGCUCAAAACCUGCAUAAAAAACCCACCCGCAUAUGUACCCCCUCGGCACGAUGGCCGGCCCCUUCUCCAAUGACCCGACACGAUGGUCGGGCUCACAAUUCAUUACUCAAUUCUCCAAAAUAGCAUAUAAAACAUCAUGUAUAUAGCAUAUAAAAAACUACAAUGCAUAUACUCAUGUGUGCUAUAUAUUAUCAAAUGCAUAUAUUCAUGUGUGCUAUAUAUAAAAAAUUACAAUGGAAAUGUACUAACCCUAAAUUAACCCUACAAUAUACUAACCCUAUAUCAAAUUCACAAUAUGUGUGCCCAUCUAACUCAAUUAUCCACUACUACAAACUACAAUGCUAAUCCUAAAUUAACAUGCUUCUUUUCCUAAAUCCUAACUUUAAAUUAACAGCAACAAAUCCUAACCCUAAAUUAACUGGAACAAGUCCUAACCCUAACCCUAAAUGAAGCUAAAUCAGAGGAGAGGGAGGGAGGCAGAGGAGAAGGAGGCAGAGGAGGUAGAGAAGGCGUGCACCUGUCGCUCGGGGAGGACAGAGACGGCGCGGGCUCGGUGAGGAGGGAGACGGCGGCGCUCAGGGAGGAGGGAGAAGGCGGCGCGGGGUGGCAGCGGUCGGGGUGGCGACGGUCAGGGUCGACGGGCAAGGGGUCGAUGGCGAGGACGAGGCUCGGGCUCGGGGACGACGGUGCUCGACGCGGGGCAGCGGGCUCGGGGUCGACGGUGGCGGCGGCGAAAAAAUCCGGCAGCGCUUCGCUCUUCUAGGGUUAAUCGCCCACUGUUGGUCGCUCCUUGUGUUGAGGACGCGCGGGCGGAAUAACCCUAGAUUUCACUAAGUGUUCCUUUAUAUACCCCAUGCACAAGAGUAACGGGCGGAUAAGGGAGGCGACUGUUACUGAUGAUCCUUCGAUCAUCAGUAACGGUCGCGCUAGAAAGCACCCGCCACUGAUGUUCACCGAAGUGCAAUGCCCAUCUACUCAUCAGUAACGGGCGCGUAGAAGCCUGACCGUUACUGAUGAGUAUAGGCACUCAUCAGUAACGGACGCAUAGCAGCCUGGCCGUUACUGAUGAGUAUAGGACAUGGACUCCAUUUCUCUAGUAUUUGUACAUCAUGGAAUUCAUGUAUUUAAAGUUUGAUGAAUAAAUUCAUGCAUUUCUCUAGUAUUUUUGCUAAAUUAAAUUCAAAAAAUUCAUCACAUGCAUACACAAAAAUUCAUCACAUAAUUUCACUUAGUACAAAGUUUGCAUUAAUAUUCAGUACGAGUACAUUUUUACAAUGUGACUACUAGUGCUUCUUCUUCCUUCGGUAAGUCAUAACUUGACUCCUCGCAGAACUGCUUCUGAGGUAGGGUUUUGUGGUAUUUUCUCGCUCCCAUCACUUCUUCUUUUCCCUCUCCUUUUCCUCGUUAAUAUCGUGCGUUCCGCUUUUUCAUCAUCUGCGGCGAUCGUCGGAUCAUGGAAACCUUCGUAGUCUUCUUGUGAAGUAACUCCGUCCACUCCAACAAUGCUUCUUUUCCCUCUUCUUACUAUGACGCGGCCUUUAUUUGCCGGGUCAUCUAUGUAAAAACCUGCUUGAAUUGUUUAGCAAAGACCCAUGGUUCCUCUCUUGCCAGGAUUUUUCUCACGUCGACUUGUUCACGAGGGAUCUCAGGUGGUAGCACCAUCGUCGUGAACUUGUGACUUUCUUCUUUGCCACCUUUGGUCCAUCUUACACGGAACAUUGGGAUCUUUGUGAUCGAGUACUCCAAUUCCCAGAUCUCCUCGAUAACGCCGAAGAACGCUUUGGUUUUGCUGUUGUCGUCGGUCGCGGUCUCAGAAGUCAUGACUACACCACUAUUUUGAUACGUGCUUUUACGGUCCUGAGACACGGUGUAGAAGUUAUAGCCGUUGAUCGCAUAUGAUUGCCAAGUAGAGACGUGAUAAGUAGGUUCCCGUGUCAAGCAUGCAACCGUUUCUUCUGAUACAUUGGUCAUCUCCCUGCCGUACCAAUAAUUCUUCAGCCACCUUUCGAAUGUUUUAUUGUGCUCCCAAUGGAUCAAGACUUCUGCUCUUUUAAGGUUUUCAUUUUGCAGUUGUUCCAUGUGCAUUUUCUGAUAAGGCCGGCAGCAAUCGGCAGUUUGCAACACAACCAAAUGUGCUCUUUCAAAGUCAGCUUCCCUUCCUCUUCCAUAGACAUUAAGGUAUGUAUGUCCAAGGCCACCUUCGCCAUCGAGCUUGCCCUUGUGCCGUGAUUCGGGAACACCUAUUGAUUUCUGAUCGGCCAACCAAUCCGUGCAGAACUCGAUGCACUCUUCUGCCCUAAAGCUUUUCACGAUGCUACCUUCCGGACGCGAUCUGUUACGAACGUACCGCUUCUGAACCCUGUUGUAUCGUUCAGGGCCAUACAUGUUAUGCAGGAACGAGGGCCCUAGGGACAAGAUCUCAUCGCAUAUGUGGAUCACUAGAUGGACCAUGGUAUCGAAGAAUGAUGGAGGGAAGAACAUCUCGAGCUUGCACAGAAUCUGUAUCAUAAUAUCCUUCAAUAUUUGGCAUCGUCUAAUGGUGAUUGACUUCUGCGAUAUGCUGUCAAAAAAAUCAGAAAGCUUCAUGAUUGUCUCCCUUACGUGCGGCUCCAUGAUACCUCUGAUUGCGACUGGAAGUAACUGAGUGAGUAUGACAUGGUUGUCGUGAGACUUCAUGCCAGAUAGCUUGUGACUCUUCAUGUCAACUAGAUGCUUGAUGCUCGACGAGUAGUUCGAUGGGACUUUAACGCCCUCCAGACACUGGCACAUCUUAUUCAACUCGUCUUUGUACAGGUUGUAACAUGAAAGACGACACCGCGUGGUCACCGUCAAGAAACCAUUCUUGUCGGCUGCCGACACUUGAUCUUUGCCCCACAACUCUUUCCUGAUAGACAUGAGUUGUAGGUCCUUCCGUGCAUUGGGUCCAUCUUUCGUCUUCUCUGGAUUGUUCAUCAACAACCCCAGCACGUUGUCGCAUACAUUUUUCUCCACGUGCAUUACAUCUAUGCUGUGGCGGCAUUCCAAAUGUGCCUAGUACUCCAGGUCCCAGAAUACGGACCUCCUUUUACACACGACGCCUUCAGGUUCCUUAUAUUUCUUCGCAGAAAUCUUUCCGGGGACAACUUCAAGAUCGUUCACAAUUUCGAGGAUUUGCAUACCAGACUUCUCUUUCGGCGCUGUCCCGUGCUCCAUCUUCCCAUUGAACAUUUCCUUGUCAUCCCUCCAAGGGUCUUUAGCAUCCAACCACUUUCGGUGGCACAUGUAAACAAUUUUGGAUGAAGCGGGCAAGUUCUCCGAUGUCGUGUUUUCCCCGCACUUUGUACGGGCCUUGUAGCCAUGUGUCACCUGGCAUGAAGUAUUUCCAUUCGCGGGGUAGUCAUGCACGCAGGUCAGAAGUGCUGCUCUCAUCGUGAAGUACUCCCUCCUGUUUGCGUCCCAAACCACUCUGCCAGGGUUCCAAAACUGCUUCAGCUCAUCCUUCACUAGCUGCAGAUACACAUUUAGGUCAGCUCCCGGCUGCUUUGUACCCUGUAUGAGCAUGCACAUGUGGAUGUACUUUCUCUUCAUGAUUAACCAUGGAGGAAGGUUGUAAACAAACAAGAUCACUGGCGCUUGUUGUUCAUAAUUCCAAAAAGAUUUAUCCCGUCAGUGCUGAGACCGAGCCUCAGGUUUCUGGGCUCUGCCCCAAAAUCAGGAAAUGUCGUGUCGAAGUUCCUCCACUGAGUCCCAUCGGCAGGGUGUCUUAGGACCCCAGCUUCCUCCACACGGUAGUGCCCGUCAGGAUCGAAUGCAGCCUGCGCCGGAUCGUGAUAGACGAGAUACCUCGCGUCCUUAACGUUCUGCAUCCAACGCUCAACUUGGCCACCUGCCGUAAGAUACCAGACAGUCUUUGCCGGCCUGCCCUUCAUCACUUCUUCCCCAUCGUCUUCGCCAGCUCUGGCGUUUUUCUUCUUGUAUCUCGAUGCACCGCAUAUGUGGCAGCUCUCAUGGUUCUCGUACUCUCCAAUGUAUACCAUGCAGUCGUUUGGACAUGAUGAUGUUUCACACAAUCUAAUUCAAGCGGGCAUGUAAUCUUCUUCGCCUCCUAUGUGUUCUUGGGCAACUUGUUUGGUUGUGAAAAAACCGAAGCAAGGUAACUCAACAAGUUCGUGAAGCCCUUGUCUGCCAGCAUGAUGCUGCCUUCAGCCUCAAAAGUUCGAGCGUCACUUCGAGCACGUGGUUUUUUUUGCCAGCUCCAUCAUACAAGGGUGUAUUUGCGCCCUCCAACAAUUUUUUGAACUGAGCAGACUCUGCUUCAUCUUCGGGGUCCUCCAGCUGCUCCCGUAGGUACGGGUCAUCUAGCAUUUCGGUAAUCCUGUCUCGUGGAGCUCCUUCACCUUCCACAUUAGCCUCCUCAUCGACCCUUGUUUCUUCCUCGGAAUCAUUCGCCAGAUCAUACCGCAGGACAUCAUCAUCUUCGCUACCGCUACCGACAUCAACCACAUCCUCCCCGUGACAAGUCCGGCGAGAAUAAUCUUCCACAAAACCCGAUGCCAUCACGUGCAUCUGAACAUCUUCAGGCUUCAUCAUGCAUGUGUUUCCACAUUUGCGACAUGGACAAUGCAUCAUCAAAAGUCAUUUUUGUUCCAUAUCACCUUUCGCGACUCCAAAAAAGACCGUCCAUUCGGUUAUCCAUUGAGCAUUGAUUCUUUCCUUGGCGUACAUCCAAAAACGGUCUUUCGAUCUACAACACAAUACACAAGAAAACAAACAAAGCAAAAUAGUUGGCAUAAUCAUUGACAAGGGAAUUAAGGUGUUAAUUAACCGGAGCUAACUAAAAAUUUGAAAUUAGAGACAUUCGGAGAGAAAUUGGAGGCCGGCGAGAAAGAUCGAGAGGGAGAGAGAGCUCGCAAGCGACAGGAAAGCUCCGGGCGACGACGAGGAGGCUGCAUUUUGGCCGGCGGCCGCGGAGCUCAAAAAUUUGAAAUUGGGGAACUUCGGAGAGAAAUUGGAGGCCGGCGAGAGAGAUCGGGAGGGAGAGAUAGAUCGGGAGAGAGAUCGGGAGGGAGAGAUAGAUCGGGAGAGAGAGGGAAGCUUCGGGGUCGAGAAUCAGAGCUCGCUGGCCGUCGGAGCUCCAAAAAUGGAGAUCGGCAGCCAUGGCCGCCCGCCAGCCAUGGAGACGGCGCCGCCGACGCGAGGGGGAGAGAGGAGGAAGGGGGAGGGAGGAGGGGCUACCUGGGGGGCUCGCCGGCGGCCAUGGCGUCGUCGGGCAGCGCCUCGCUGUCGCCGGAAGUGAAGGAGCCACAGCUCGUCCGUUACGACGCGCAGCGCGACGAGCUGCGGCUCUGCCCAACGAAUUUAAAUCGCGACGCAUCAGUGGCGAUCGGGAAACGGGCGACCGUUACUGAUAAUCGUGGACACAUCAGUAACGGUCGCGUUGGGUCGACCGUUACUGAUGCGUGGUUCAUCAGUGGCGGUCCCCUUGCGCGACCGCCACUGAUGUACGGCUGGGCGGGGACGGGCAAAGCCCGUUGUGUUCAUCAGUAACGGUCGCGGCCGCGACCGACACUGAUGUUAUUCAUCAGUAACGGUCACGCCGGACCCGUUACUGAUGUGCCGUUGCAUAUAGACCAUUUUGUAGUAGUGUAGAUGUGACUAUGUCGCAGCUGACUCAAUCGCUUGAUUUUUAGUUUAAGCAAAAAACGCUUAAAUCUAAGUUGACACAUCAUGACAUCAAAGCCAUUGAAAUACGGUUUUGCUAUAUCUGAAUUGUCUGAUUUUUAGCUAGAGAUCAGAUGAUUCCUCAACCAUUGGAUAUGUUUUUACGCUUUAACAUUCAGAACGAACGAUGAAAGGAAAAGAGUGGGAUGGCUUCCAAAUAAUAAUUGAACGGUUGUGAUACAUCAACUGAGAUUUCACUAUUUUUCUUAAAAAUUGGGCAACUAAGAUAUAGCCACAUCCAUUGAAAUACGGUCUAUCCGCAGUUGUCCUAUCCUCCCUCUCCCACGUUCUGUCGUUGUAUUAAGAUGUGAUCGUCAAGCAAAUCGACUGUUCGCUGACUAAAAAAUGUACAAGUUUCUUAUACCAAAACCGGCAACGCUUAAUUCUAUCCGAACAACUUAAUUGUCUUUGCACAACUGCACUGGUAUGUUUCUCCUUCUAAUAAACGCGAAGAGACAACACCCGUACGUACGGAUGCAACAGCGACAUCGGUGGACCACGGCACGGACACACCUACACCAGGGAGUAGUUGUGUAUGGGCGCAAUACGUACGGACAGUUUUUGUACGGUAUUUGUAGCUUGCGCGCCACAGGUGAAUGUCACGUUCCCAGGUAGGAGACAUGCACGUCUAUGUAGCUUUUGGGCUGCAGCAACAUCCAUCUCCAUCUCUUUAUGACUUUAUCUACUCGCUCUGGCCACCUCUCUUCAAACGACUUAAAUUUGUCUAAAAAUAAACGUAUCUAUAUACUAAACGGUUUUGCUAUUGAUAAGUCGCGAUCAAUUGACAUGUGAGCCAUCGGAUCGUAAUCCAAUAUAUAAUACUUCCUCCGUUUCAUAACUCUUGUCUCAAAUUUGCCUAAAAAUGAAUGUAUCCAUUCCUAAAAAACGUUUAGUUACAUGUAAUAUUUUAACGACUUAGAAAUAGCCACACCAUAUAUACUAAAAUACUUCUAGAUACAUGUAAUAUUUAGGCACUUCACAUUGGACGGAGUAAGUAAUAAUUUUCAAGCGAAAAAUUAAUUGGGCCUAUUUCUAUAUUCACUCGUGUCAUCUCCAACAAGGUACUAGUUAGUACCAGUACUAAAAAAUUUCUCUCCUUUUUUCAAUGUGUUUCAAUUUUUUUCUUAUUUAUUUCUUUUUUUGAUAGACCCACGUGUCAUCUUCUUUGUUGUCUUGAUAUCCGUGUAGUACAUGUUAUUUUUCAAACGACCAUUAUUUGGUUGUGUCAUUCUUCUCUCAUUUACAUUGACCACUAAUUUUCUUGGUACCUGUGUAGUAUCUCUUGUGGGAUGCCUUUUGCAACCUUGGGUCAGCCAGCCAUGCGUGAUUCCAGCAAGGCCGAUACACGCACGGCCUACCAAGACAUGGAUUGGGAACCUACGAUGAGCUUUAGCCUUUAGCCCAUGCUAUAUGGAUAAUUGAUUUUGGUUCUCAUGGAUCGAGCAGCGGAGACUUAUUAACGCAAGGCUUUGCCAAAAAUCAAGCUCAUCGUUGAUAGUAUGAUCUUGUAGCCUGAACUAAAAUAAUGUAUUUGUAAAAUGAAAAAAAGGUCGUAAGGAAGAAUAAAAUGGUUUCCUAUGCUGCUAUGUGCUAUCGACGGAUGCGUCGUCUAAUCGUUGCUAUGGACCAUACAGAUGCGGCAUGACAUCUCGACAUCCAUCUGGAGUUAAAUUCCAGUCCUCUGUUAUAUAGUAAAAGCAAUAUGAAGAGUAUUGAGGAGAGGUUUCACGUUGAUUCACGUCACCUCAAUUAGUUUGACCGUUGGAUAGAAGAUCCGAGGAUCAUAAAUUGUUUGUCCAAACAUAUGUUACGUUGCUAAAUCCUCUAGAGUCCCACACGAUUUCCGUUAAAAAAAUAUGUCACAUUAAAACAUGUCACGUUAUCGCACUAAAUCCCGCCCCUCACGAUUUCCAUUAAAAACAAAGAACCGGACUCUUGGUUUUAUACGCGCUUUGCACGGACGGUACAGAAGAUCGAUUAACAGCAGAGCAAUUAAAACUUCCUUUCAAAAAAAAAAAUUAACACGUACGAUAAAUUCUCGGCAGAUCUAACACCAGUUCCCACCAGUCCAUAUCUUUCUAUGCGCGUUCAACAGCAGUAUCUGUCAAUCUAUUAUGUUAUCUAUUUUUAUCUAGGAAACCAUGCCGCGGCACGACGAUGCGCGCACGACGCCCAGCUGAGCAGCUCCUGUUGUGCUUGCAAUGCAGUCUUACGCAAGAAAAAAAAGAGAGGAUGCAUGCAUCUCUAGGUCCAGUGCAGCACCAUGCAGACGGCGUCGCGCACGGAGGCAAACUAGCUGAACUGCGAGCGUUAGUUCUGUUUUAUCUAUUCUAUCGUUACUCCUUCGAUUUGAGUGUCACUGAAUUUGUACAAAAUACUAAAUUAACAACACUUAUUAUGGAUCGGAAUAAGUAAAUAUAAAAAGCAAUAUGAGCAGCACCGAGGAGAGGCACCGCACUCAUCCACCUCAUCCUAAUUAUCUGGUCCGUUAGAACUGAUAUUCGAUGGUUAACAUUUAGGGAGUAGGAUAUAUCUAAUGGGUUGGACAAAACAUCAUUCAAGGCCCACAUAGGCCUAAUAUUCCAUAUAAGCCAAAAGUCUAUUUGUAUUGUGCCAAACGUAACAUACUACGUUCUACGACAAAUAUGUAUGAUAUCACAACUUUUUUUCAUUAUUUUUUGUAAUGGAUCGCGAGAAUAUUAAGUAGUAAACUAUUCAUUAUCUUUUAUCUAUAUUAUGAAAGCACGAGGAGGGCUAUGAGGGGAGGCACCAUGCUGAUCCACAUAAUCUAAAUUAUUUUAACCGUUAAAUCUCAUAUUUGAUGACUACGAUUUAAUUAGGUGGAUAUAUCUGAUGGGUCAAAGACUAAACAUCAAAGUGAUUUGAGACCAACAUAGGCCCAAUAUGCUAGAUAGGCCAAAUAGUUCUUUACAUGAUUCCAAACGCACAAAUGACCAAUCAGUUUGAUUUGCAUCAUCUGAAUUGUUUAAACCGUUAUAUAAUAAAGCACAGUAUAGGGCACUAGCGUUGAUCCACAUAAUCUGAAUUAUUGAAACUAUUAGAUCUUGAUUUGUAUGGUGUCAAAAACAAUAUGCAAAGACCGUUGCACGAUCAAUAUGUUAAGACCUCUCAACUUUAUUUCCCUUAUAUGUCUUCUGAAUCAUGAGAAUAUUAGGUAGUAAACCUAGCUCCAUUCAUCAUAAUCUAUAUUUAUGCAAGAGGAUUAAUUAUCAACGAGCGUUUAAAGAAUUAAAAAAACAUUUUUUAGGAUUACGAGAAUAUGAAGUAGUAACCUCCUCUCAAUCCGUCAUAAUCAAUAUUUAUGAAAGGAUUAUUUAUUAACAAGCAUUUAAAGAAUUAUAAUUGUACAUCCUAACACGUAAACAGAACAUAUUGCAUUAAUGAUUAAAAAAAGUUACGACCAUGGGCAGAUCCACCUUGGGGGCACCAUGGACACGUGCCCAGGUUUCUGGGUUGUGUAUCCAAAAGGGAAGCAACGACUCUAAUGGUGUCACGUGGCAGAAUUGUGAAGCUUAAGCCCGAGCACAUAGGCUAUAGACUUAGGCUAGCUCCACCAAUGGUUAUGACAUGACCAUUUUUUCAAUGUUUUCGACAGAUAAGAGAAUAUAAAGUAGUAAGCUCACCUCUAUUCAUUAUAAUCUACGUCUAUAUUUUUGCAAAGGUGAGUUAUUAACGGUCAUUUAAAGAAUUACAACUCUACAUGCUAACAUGUGAUCCUAAAGUUAACUAUGGAUACUAAUUAACAUCAUAUAUGAGCGACUAACUAGAUAUCGAAUAAAAAACAAUUACUAAUCAAAUAUCACUACAAAGCCAAAAGGCAAAUGACUAGCUCACGAUCUAAACUUUGAUCAAGUAUAGAUAAAAUAAUCAUGUAAAAGACCUCACAUAAGGAUUUAUUAUUAAAAAAAUCUACUUAUAUAGCUUGGCAUACACACAACACGUCAGUGCAAACAAGUGAUUGACUAAUCCAGCUUGUGAAGUUUAAACUUUUGUAAAUAAUAAUAUACACAAUCAGUCGUCUCAUGAUCAGUCAUCUCAGGUGCGACCAUCAUCUCACAACAAUCAAUUAGUUUAACGCACACAUUGAUCAACCAAUCAGGCUCACAUUGUAAACUUAAAAUUGUGAAUUACGAUCUAAAGCCACAUAAAAAUAAAACGUUGCGUCAUAUUCAAAACACAAUAAUUUCAUACUUCUAAGAGUAGUGUGAUUAGUUAAAUGUGCUUUCCUAGAUGUAGGUUUUGUUAGUUGAUCUGCCUUUAUAGCUAUUGUUGUUGUUCUCGACAACAAUUAGAGUAAGGGGUGCCAAUGCUCGAUGGCACAAGUGCGGGUGUAAAUGUAGGGCGUGUACGCCGGCCUUAUAGCGAAGGUUGUCGUACACUUGGACAAGUUGACACGUCAAUAUUUUUUGAAUAUGUUCGGUCGACCCUGCAGGUGCGACUUAAUCCUAUGUUAGGAAAAGCUUCGAGGGGGUUGUUAGCCGAGGGUUUGGGCCGAGCGGAUCUUCCCAAGACACCUUUAGGCGAGAGGUCCGUCGGGGCCGCUCGUACUUGGACCGAACGCGUAUUUCCAAGUAUCGAGGUUAGGAUUCCCUCGGAACUCUAACCCAACCCCUUCUCCUUCGAGUCCGGGCCGAACGCGUCUUCCCGGAUCUCGAAACUAGAGCUCUUUGCAAGAGACUCUAGCCCUCUCCCUUGAGUUUAUUCAAGUGAGAGUGAAUGAUACAUGCCCUCAUGUGGGGUAUUUAAAGCCUAGGGGUCCAUGACAAAUGACCAUGGCUACCCUUGAGGGAGAGAGAAAAGUGGAGGCAAAAGGAUAAAAGUAGGUCCUUUGGUCCAUAGCUUUUGUGUGCACCAUGAGAGAAAAGUAGGGUUUGGUCCAUGGUCCACCAUGGACCAAGGGCCCUCCUCUCACUUUUCUUGCUCCCCACUCUAACUCAUUUGACCCCUUGACCAUGGCAUGAGAGGCUUGACUUGUUGACUAGUUUUCCUCUGCCACGUAGGAUUGACCGCGCCACGUAGGUGUCUUUGACUCGUGCUUGCGGAAUGUUGACUUGGUCGCCAUCACAUAGGAUUUACGGCUCGGCCCAUAUAAGGGUUUAUUUUACUACUAUUCUUCAAAUUUUAUUUGAGUGUAUAUGUGUAGUGAGGUUUAUUAAUUUUGCAUUUCGAAAAAAUCAAUCGUGAACAUGGUUCGUGAAGGAACUUUUAAUUUCCUAUUUUCAUACUGGUCUAAUAGCACAUACCAGUGACAUGCCUUUGUCAUUUUUUUGUGCUUUAAAAAUAAUACAAAUACAAUAAUAAAUAUCUUUAAUAAAGAUGUUUUGCACGGGACACCUUGCUAGUUCUUUAAUUAAUGCAAAAAAGGGAAAUAUCAGGAAAACAUAGCUUAUGCAUUUUUUUUGUAAAUCCGGUACGCAUAUCCAUUUAACUGGUUUAAGUAACACUAAAGUAACAUAUCUUGGAGGGAAGCGCCGUCGCCGCGUCGUAUAAUUGCCUUAAAAAAAAGAUACUCUUUCCGUUUCAUAAUUUUUAUCUCAAAAUUUGCCCCCAAAAUAAUGUAUUUAUUUAUAAGAAAUGUUUAGAUUCAUGUAAUAUUUCGACAAAAAUUAUUAAACUGAGGGAGUAUCUCUUGUCCGUCGAGCACAUACUGCAUAAGCAUGCACACGCAGGUUGUGUCUCUGGUCUCUUCUGCGGUCAUUUGCAGUUUCGCGCUAAACUGACUAACGAACACUUCAAAGUUUAAAAAAAUAAAAAAAAAAAUAGCGAGAGCACCUGGUUGCGGGCUUGCUGCAGGAGCUCAAAGUUAAAUUGAUGCUCCUGUCGCCUAUAUAUACGAGCCAGUAGCUCCUUCAUCACAGCAUCAAGAUCACCACCACAAGUGCAUCUGUGCAAAGCGUGAAAAACAGAGCAAAACAUCCUCUGCCUCAGCCCGCGAAGCCAGCUCCUCUCCCCUGUUCCUACUCUGUUUCCCUCACUCACUGACUCACUCGAGAGUUCCUAGUGGAACGCGAGGCUUUGCUCGGGACCCGGCCAUGGUGGCGAUCAAGGCGCCGAGCUCCAUCGACCACGCGAACCCGCUGACCAAGUCCCCCAAGGCCGCAGCAGCAGCAGCAGCAGCGAUCCCGACGGUGGACCUGUCGUCCCCGGGCGCGGCGAGGGCCGUGGCGGAUGCCUGCCGCGGCGUGGGCUUCUUCCGGGCCACCAACCACGGCAUCCCCAGCUCGCUCGCCGCAGCGCUCGAGGCCCGCGCCAUGGCCUUCUUCGCGCUCCCGCACGAAGACAAGGUGGACGCCACCAUUGCCGCGGCCGCCCGGAGGCCCUUCGGGUACGGCAGCAGGAGCAUCGGCUCCAACGGCGACGUCGGCUGGCUCGAGUACCUCCUCCUCUCCCUCGGCUCAAACUCAAACUCCAGCUCCAUCCCAGGAGCUUCCUCCCUCCCGCCAUCGCUCCGGGCGGCGCUGGAGGAGUACACGGGAGCGGUGAGGAACGCGAGCGGGAAGGUGCUGGAGCUAAUGGCGGAGGGGCUGGGGAUGCAGGAGAGAUGUGCGCUGAGAAGGAUGGUGGAUGGAAGCGAGGAAGAGCUUGUCAGGGUGAACCAUUACCCGCCGACCAAGGAAGAAGACUGCGUGGCGGGGAUGACGGGGUUCGGGGAGCACACGGACCCGCAGAUCAUCUCCCUGCUCCGGUCCAACCGCACGGCCGGGCUCCAGAUUAAGCUCCAAGGACCCGACGCGCCAUGGGUCAACGUGGCUCCCGACCCGGAUUCCCUCUUCGUCAACGUCGGCGACUGCUUGCAGGUGCUGACGAACGGGCGGUUCAGGAGCGUGAAGCACAGGGUGGUGGCGCCGGAAGGGGCGCAGGCGUCGAGGCUGUCGGUGAUCUACUUCGGCGGGCCGGCGCCGGCGCAGAGGAUCGCGCCGCUGCCGGAGCUGAUGAGGGAGGGCGAGCAGAGCCUCUACAGGGACUUCACCUGGGGGGAGUACAAGGCGGCUGCCUACAAGACCCGCCUCGGCGACAACCGCCUCGGCCCCUACGAGCUGCGCAACGUCGCAGAUACUAAUCCGACGGCUCUGAUCACCGCCUCCAAGGAACCCACAGCCGCCGAUCACUGCUGCAGCAACAGCAGCAGCAGCAGCGCCGCCUGCGUCGUCGUCCAGCCGCCGCACGUAGCACAAGUGCACUAGCUAAGCUAGCUGAUGUCCGGCCGGCGGCUACUGUCGAUCGUUGGUCGGUCGUUUGAUGUGUAAUCCAGAUGUGGUAACUAAAGCUAGCUGUACGUGUGCCUGCCUGCUUUCCCAGCCCAAAAUUGGCAUGCGCCUGCGAAAAUGCCUCUCCCGCAUGCUCUGCUUCGUCCCGGUUUCAGUUUGUCCUUUCUGGGAAAACAUUUGUAACUUCCGCUAGUAGUAGUAGUAGGCUCGUAGCUGCAAGCCUGCAAGUGUGCUGCACCCUUUUGUCACCGGCAGUUUAACAGCUUGAAUCGCACGCUAUAUGCUGCCUGGUGUACUGUAAAUUAACGGCCCUAUUGUUCCGAUUGUCUUUGUGUGUUACUUACUUCUAGAGUACAAGUUAACUGGAGUACUAAGUGACAACGUUGUAAAAAAGCCCCCCUCUUCGCUUCUUUGGGGCCUUUUGUGCCGUAUAAGAAGUUAAGUACUUCAGAGGAAGAAGGAAACAGUUCAGUUUAGAUUCUACACGGUGCCAACCCCCGAUGCAUCAUCAAGACAUCAAGGUUCAGAUCAGACGACAGGGCUCGAGCCGUGCUCGGUAACAGCUCACGUCCGCUUGUUACAACUAGACGAGCCCCGUACGUUGUCGUGGAAAUUUUUAGUUAACAUACGUGAGCCCACGUUGUUGAGAACAUACAUGAAUGAAAAAUAGCAACAAAAGAGUAUUCAGUGAAAUGUAUAAUGGAAUUGUAUGAUAAAUUAUAGAUCAUUCACUUAGUAAAAAUAGCUUGAUGAAAAAUAGCAUGCAUGCAUGUGCAAAAAAUAUGAGUGUUUCACUAAAUAGAUAUGAACAAAUUAAUAGUGUGAUGAUGUGGCAUGCUUGCAUGUUGAGAGAAAUCAAGUAGCAGUAGCAUGUUCUUCUCCUUAGAUAUGGAAGAUUAGUGCUGUGCGUGGUACGGUUCGAGCUGAUCCAAGAGAAACGUGGUAUCUACGGAUCGGAUGUUCGGUUUACAAAAAAAAUCGGAACAACUAAAUCCUAUCCAAUUGAACCAUUGAUUCACCGGUUCGAACCUUCCUGUUCCUCAGGCCGAGGCAGCGAUUGAUCUCUCCAAUUCCUCGAUUUGCUGCUGCUGCCGCCGCCGCCGCUAAGCCCCACCGUGGUCGCCGCCGCCGUCUCCUUCAGUGCAAGUGAUCACAGUUCGCACCGCCUGCAAAUCCGCUCCCUCCCCACCCCCUCAGCGGCUCGCCGCCUUCAAAGCCGAAGCCAAGACGACUCCGCCGCUAAGACCAUCGGCGGCCGCCUCCGCAUCCCACGCCGCCACCGGGUGGAUUCGUCUCCAUCGCGCCGGCGCCCCCAACUCCCCGCCAACCUCCACCAUUACCCUGCUGUCGAUUCAGCGAGAUUGAAGUUUUUCUACCUCCGUCCCAGGCGCGCACUGCAGCCGAGCAGGCGACGAAAAUAACUCCUCCAUUACCCUGCUGUCGGCAACCUUCUUCGAGCUUUGAGCUAUUCGGCUUUUCCGGCCUGCAGCAGAGCAGCCGACGAGAGCCCUCUGGCAAGACGAAGCAUGCUGUUCUUUUCGGUAUGCAGUAUGCGCAGGCAAUUUAGGUUCGAACCAAAAGAUCCAUUGGAUCGUGUGGAUCACGGAUGCUGCUCCAAUGGAUCGAACCUUUUUACUCCCUUGCACCCUAGGUACGUGAAGUUUGGUGCGGUUCAGAGCCGGUACGAGCCACGCCCACCCCUAGUUACAAUCCGUUUUACUAAACCAACUAGUGGAAUGUCCGUGCUUCGUGACGGCUGAUGUUCAACAUAUAAUGGAAACGAAUAUUGAAAAGAAGGUGCAUAUCGUUUGCACGGAAUACAUAUCGGCCAUACCCAAUUGCUAUGAUAACAAAAUUCGACAAUACCAAAACAUUGAAAAACGACGAUAAAUAAUAUGAGAACUCAAGAAUACAGAACUUGGUUCAUACAUAGGAUGCGGUACAAACAGAUCUAUCUAAAGUACCACAUUAAAUAACAUCAAAGAAAGGUAAACUGGAACCAACCUAUAAUAGGGCAAGCUUGUUCAAGUAUAUUACAAUAAAAAUAUGCCUGGAAGGCAAAUUGGAAACAAAGAUCAUGAUUAGUGACAACAAAAACACUUACCACAUCUAUUAGCUGAUGAAAUGGUAGGAGCAAACCUUCACUAACAGCAUACAAGAACGAUGUCGCCAUUCUCUACAGCCUCCCAGAUAUUUUCAAGCCUCUCAUUCCUACAAGGACUUGAGUUGAUAUUAACAACUGGCACAGUUUGGUACCUCUUUUGUACAGUAGGAUAGAAUCACAUAAGGUAGAUUAUAUGUAUCCUGGAGGUUAUGGUAGAUUAAUAUAGACAACUUGUAACAUAUACAUUUUUAUAUUAGUGAUAUACAAGAAAUGGAAGUUGAAGGACUCAGCUACUUAUGGCUAAUGAAUUUGUUCAGGGUUCAGAAGACCGUAACCGGAUGGUUUGAGUUUCCAACGCAUUUGCAGCAUUGCCUUUUUCAAAUUUUAGUAAGCCCCAAAAUUACACCACUGAAAUUAAGCAACCAAACUCAGUAAAGGGAUACGUUCAAAAUGCAGAUAUUACCUUAUUACAUCCAAACAAAACGUAUGAAAUAUCAUGUUUAUGGGAAUUCCUAGAUUAGUGUGAAUAGUCCCAAGAGGAGCAACAAUAUCACCAACAUCCUCCCCGGAAGGCCGAAACAUGGCCCUUAUAGAUUUGGGAUAACACAACAAACCUACAGAUGCAAAGCAUGACAGUGAAACUUUGCUCAUAUGUCAGCUUAUUAGUGCAACCAGAAAACCAUAAUGCUUUUAGAAAAUAUUGGUCACUUGGAAAAAUAAAUAAACACAGAUUCUAGAGUACUAAGUGACAAUGUGUUACCGGUAUUAUGAGCAGCUCUGCAGAAAUCAAAGUUCAGUUCUCACAAACUCAGCUUCAUAUUUCAGUCUAUUUGUUGUUCACCUUUAACCCCACUUCAGGUGGGUUUCAUUCUCAUGCUUCAUGAUAGCAUAAGCAGCAAGUAUACAGUACCUUAGUCUUAAAAAAACAUAUAAUUUUCUUCCCUGUUACAUUGUGUCGUCAGUGGUGUUCCCCAUAUAAUUGACAUAUAUUCUUUGAACAUUCUAAAAGAAAAAAGGGGAUCAAACUUGUUACACACAUGUUCCCCAAAUAAUUGACUUUCUCCUCUAUCAAAAUCUAUUUGACAGAGAGAAUGGGUUAAAAUUCAGAUAUAUUGCCAGACUUACAGUUGUACAUAAUUGAAGUUAAGAACAAAGCAUUUCAAAAAUAAGAAACAAGGGAAUAUGAAACAUAUGAAAUUUGUAAACAAAGAAUGAGCAAAACAACAAAACAUGUGCAUCCAAAACUUAUUUAUUCCUACUUACUACUUACAUGAAUUAUAUUCUGAGUCUUCUGAGUGAGUUCCAGGUACCAAUGAGCCAAAUGGAAUCACGAUCAAAUUCGUUAGCAAGUGAUUGACGAACCGCCUAUGAUUUAUCGAAAUUAUGUCCAAUUAUGCUAUCUCAGAUAAGCAUCAACAUAAAAAUUUCCUACAACAACCUUCAUUUAUAUUAAAAGAUCAUGCAUUUUACUUGACGCUCUUUUACCAAAAUAUUGCAGUAAUCAAGUCAUGACCCAAAGAUUUCCGCACAUUUUACGGACUACAAAAUUAUAAAUCACCACAUGAAUUUAUUUUGUUUCAAAAUACCGCGCCAGAUUGCCAGAAGACCAUGAGUAAGAAAGAAGUGUCUACUCUUGGCAAAAGUCUAAACUACUCCUAAGUGCCCAUCGAUGGAAGGAAAUCUCAAUCAAUACAGGGGCACAUUGAGGAGUAAGACGGAGAGAGGUAUGGAUAGGGUUAGUUACCUUGAGGUGCUGGAUGCCGAACGAGUGGUCCAUGAGGGCCAGGGGAGAGUAUCCGGCGAUGGAGAUCGCCUGCGCAAGGGACGCCGAUGACUGUCAGCAGCAUGGUGCUGCCCCCGCCAAGCGCAGCCUCAACGGUGGCCAACAGGCGGCGGCGGCCAUCGUCUUCAUCAUCCGCCGCUGCUUCAUGUGUGAGGAAGAGGAACGGCGGAGGGCGCCUGCGCAAGGGACGCCGAUGACUGUCGGCAGCAUGGUGCCGCCCCCGCCAAGCGCGGCCUCAACGGUGGCCAACAGGCGGCGACGGCCGUCGUCUUCAUCGUCCGCAAUUGCUUCAUGUGUGAGGAAGAGGAAUGGCGGAGGGCGCCCACGCGGGAGACACUGAUGACGUCGAGCGCCCCGGUGCCGCCCCCGUCGAGCGCGGCCUCGGCGGGGGCCAACUGGCAGUGGAGGCCGCCAUCGUCAUCCGCCGUUGUGUCGUGCGAGAGGAGGGGCGCUGGUGACGAGACGUCUCUGGAGUAGGGGAUGGGAUGGGGACGAUGGCGGAUCUGGAGGGCUAGAAAGGAGGAGGUGGAUCGAGAGAACGGAAAGAACGGGUGCGUGGAGAACGGUGGAACGUGGUGCGGGAGAGAGGAGCUAAUUACGGCCGUGAUUGAUUGUUGGAUUGUUUUUUUUUUAGGGUUCAGAUAGGGAUGGUUUUCUUGGGGUGCGGGGAUCGGACGGGUGGGACGAGUGCGACGGAUGAACGUACGUACCAAACUCGAAAUUAAGUAGUAGUAAAGAUAGGGUGCUAAAUUAGGCAUUUGCAAUGACAGGUGACAGUUCACGUGGGUGCCAUGCUUUCCUUUUCCGUGACAAAUAGUACUCCCUCUGAUUCUAAAUUCUUGACUCAAAUUUGUCAAAAUAUGGAUGUAUCUAUUCUUAAAAAACGUCUACAUACACGUAAUAUUUUGACAAUAAUUUAGUAUUGGAGGGAGUAGUAUGUAUGUAAGGUUCGUGCUAACCUACAUGUUGACCCUACAAGCAAUUUUUUCUUUGAAAGCAUGCCAAAAUGCCAAAUUAGUCCUUAAAAAAAAGCUAGCCAAAUUAAAGCAUCCGGUUUUGUUCCUCAUCGUUCAUUUCCCUCCCUCCCUCCUUCCCUCCCACCCAUGUUGUCGUACAAUUGUUUUUUUUAACGGGUAAGGCUUCUCAUUUCUCAAAUAAUAGUACAAUUGGGUUUACCUGCCAUUUGCUGCCCAGCCACUAAUUGGUGCUUAUCUUCACGCCUUGUCGCCCCCUUGCAAUGGCAUUCAUCGGUUGGUUAAAAAGGGAAAAACAAGUUUGCAGCACCGGUACAUUUGUACAUCCUUUUCUAUCCACGCAACCACGCGAGGCCGGACGACACGUGCUGAUGCGACUGACGGGAAAGCUGGUUUGGACGGAUGAGCAGAGAGAGAGAACCCGCGCUCGAGCCGCACGUCGGUUUCUUCUUGCAGGAUAAACAUUGCACGUACCAAACGAGCAAAAAUAAGGAACCGGGUGCCAUAUAUAUCCACUCGAUCGGCUCGGACUUUGUCGCCGCCGCCGCGGCUGCUGCUCCUGGCGUCCCGCAGACAGAUUCCCACGAGCCUUGGGCUUCAUCACACGGAUGCCUGUUACCACUCGAUCGACCAGCCCAAAUAGUCUAGCCGUCCGGACUUCGCGUGCGUGCUGCUCAUAUAAUUGUUGGUUGCGUGGGGGCAAUUAUUGACGUACGUGUAGGCGCGCGUACUAGGAUUAAUCUAUCGACGACCACCGUCAUUCACGAGGUCCGGUCGCGUUUGCUAUCGAGCCCAGGCUCCUAGCUAGUUCGACCGGAUAAGGCCGUUCCCGAAUCUAGUCUCAGUGGCAGUAGAAGAACAGUAGCAGCAUUCUGGUGUGUUCUCUGCCAUUGCUCAUGGGGAAAUAGCGGUGUGGUUGAUCUGGUGGAUUUUUGUGCGGAACCCGACAAGCAUGCAUAUUAAAUGGCUUAAAUUUGUCAAAUAAAUAUAAAUGCAUCUGAAACCAAAACGGGACGGAGGAAGUACCAGUAGUAUAAAAGAACUGUGCACAUAAUGCAUGGACGAUGAAAUGGCCUCACAUGGCGAUCGACCGCGCGCGCUUAGGGCGCCGGCACACGUAGAAGAGAGCCUCGUGCUCGCGCGCGAGCUGAGCAUAUAGCACGUACGGUCCGAGCGGCGUCCCGGGCGGGGAUCUGCAGCCUAGGCCUGUCCGGGGCGCCGUCGCAUCGGUCGAUCCAUCGAUGGCGGGACACGGGACACACUGCACACAGCACGAACACGUGCGUGCAUGCGCUAGCUGCAUAUGCCAAAUCUGGUCUCGGUUCACGUUGGUACGUACGCGCUCGAUUGAUCGAUCGAUGGACAACUGACGUAUCGAUUCGAUACGUCAGGGAGGGCUACGUACGGAAAGCUAUAGCUAGCGGGGCCGCCAGAAUCGAGCAGGGGCUCGAUCGAUUCAGAUUCGAUUCGAUCUGGGGUCGAGAAAUAUGUGUGUGACUAGCUGCUGCUAUACGCACGUGCAUAAUACUACUGGUAUGCUACACUUCUCGUUAACUAAGAUGAUCUAUCAGCCGGAGGUGGCCCGUUAAAUUGAAGAGAGGGAGAGAGAAACGUUCAAACUGAAAGGAAAAAAUGGUGUAACUAUUUUCAAACAAAGGUAUUAAAUGUCGAUGGACAUGUCAGAGACAUCGGAUCAAGAUCCGAGGGUCAUCCACACUUUCCCCUCCGUAACGUGUUAUCGCUGGAUUAAAAUCUGACGACCAACAGGGGCGGAGUUACAGCGUAGACAUUGGGUUCAGAUGAGGAAUUGGAUCCGAGCCUACACAUAUGAACCCCAUGAUUAUAGUGUAAUGAACCCAGUGGUUUCCUUUUCUGGCUCCACCCGUGACGACCAAUCACGUCGACUUGUCUCUAACUAAAAAAAUACAGACGACUUCUUAAUAGCAAAACAUGAAAAAGGAAUAUAAUGUCUCUGUAAAAUAUAGAAAGACGUGGUUCUCCGUUAAGAUGUUGUGGUUAUUUCUCUUCUGUCAGUUGACCAUUUUUGUCCCCGUCUGAUCCAGCGCCGCUCCGUUACCGUACCAUGUUUUUUCACGUCAUUAUCCGUCCGUAUUCCUUAUUUGUUUUUGCAUUCAUAUCAUGUCCGUGCCGCUUCCAAACCAAUGGAAAUUGUGAAAUAAAAUAUGGUACUAUAUAAAAUCAUUAUCCGGUCCCGUUUUACAUAUAUGCUAUAUUCCUCAAGUAUGUACAUCGAUCGCGGUCUUGUAUGAUUCAAAAACAAAAACGAAAUAUCAGUAGAGAGCAAGCGUACAUGCACACGCAGGAUAUGCUUUCGUUGGUUAAUUCGGUGUACGUACGGACCACCGCGAUGUCUCUGCGCCCGUCGACGUCACACACGCUUACGUGAGUGCGUGCGUACAGUCGGUGAUUAAUCGAUCCGGAAACGUGCCAAUAUAGUCUGCAGCCGCGCCGGCUUUUUAUACUCCCUGCAAUCAAUGCACCCGGCCCUCUCGUUUCGGCCGAAAACUGCAUACCACGCUCGAUCGAAUCAUCCAAGUAUACAGAUACACACAUGCUUCUCGAUGACUCGAUCGAUGGACUUACGGUAUAAUCGUACAGUAGUUGCUUUCGCUUCCAGACGUAGGUACACGGAACGACGAACCGGGAAAAACGGCCCUCCUGCUCCUGGCUUGGAAUCAUUCCACCUCUGGUGGAAAUCCUGGACCACCCGUACGUCCAUAUGCUCCCUUGCGAGUUGCAGACACGUUAUACGUACUCAUGUAAUCGCUCCGUUUCAUAAAAAUUGACACGAUUUUAAAUCAGAACUAAGUUAAAAUCAUGUCAAUCUUCGUGAAACGGAGGAAGUACCUGACAGGAAUGCAUGCAGGGAUCAGGCACUCCAGUUUGGAGUUGGAACGGGGCACACAUGUGGAAAAAGUUUCGAACUAACAAGGUGGCGACUGCGACCAAAGCCAGAACCAUUUUUUGUCGAGCACGAUCGAUCGACCUGCAGCGCCAGAGCCACUAGAGGGCCCAGAUCAGCUUGCCCCGCCCCAAUUCCAUGCGUUCCGGUUGUUUCCUUUCGAGCCCCCUGCCCCAGUUGCCUGCCCUUUUAUCUCUCAGCGAUCAGUUACGUUCAUGCAUUCUUGGCCACACGUACCUACACUACAAUCGGUACUACUACGUACAUGCGAGAUAGCUAUGUCCCGAUCGAGCCUGCAAUUAACGGCAACUCGACCGAUCAAUCUGCAAGUAGAGACAGUAAUCUCGAAUUUGGUUCAAAAGCAGGCAGCGAAUCCUGGAACGACCAAGUUACACGGUACUCCUAUGUAAGCUAGUACUAGUACAACUAGUAGCAUGCCACCGGUGGAUCACUCACCUGGGGAUACAAAACCGUUCUCCUUCGAUUAGAGUCGUCUGCAUUAUUGACAGUUUCGAUGGACCAGGCAGACAGAAGCAAAGCCUGGAUGCGCGCGGGAUCCACUUGUCCAGCAAAAGGGCACGAAUCGGGGAGGUCACAGGACUUAAACAUACGAUAGGCCACGCGAGCCAAAGGCGUGCCGUACUGUGCUGCCCCUGCCUGGCCUGUCGUGUGAUGUGACAGAAAAAAAUUAAAGGGAGCGGCGAACCUGCGUUUCAUGAUCAUUGAUAGAUGGAUGGGUGGAUCGAGCUAGUAUUAAGCUGGUUGUGGUGUGUGUGUGUGGAGGGGGGUCUGUCUUUGAAAAGUCGACGCUGCAUGCGGACGUUCAGUUUCAAGUGGCGUGCAAGAUGUUCCUAGUGAAAAUGUGAAAUCAUGGGGGAAAUAGGCGAAGUUUGCAGGGUUGAACGGCACACCGCGUUUGGCUGACGGCUCUAUGCGCGGAUAUGAUGUUUUCUUUUUAACGAAUAUUCUGAUAUUUUUCAAUACCAAAACCGUAUUCGGAGUUAGCUGGCGUCUGAAUUUUAAACAGAAGACUUAAAUCUCCGGACUCUUGAAUUAAGAUCUAAGUGUCAUCCCCACUCUCUCUUCUCCCGCAUGCUGUUGUUGGAUUAAGAUCCAAUGUUCAAACACGUCAGCUGAUCGCUAACUAAGAAACAAGCGACUUCUUAAUAGCAAACCGUUUUCUGAAUCCCCACAUUCGAUAAUAAAAUUCCACCGGGAACCUACCAUGCUGUAUGCAGAUAUCGACCUUCUUUUUUUGGAUUGUGAUAAGUGUAUUUUCAUAGUUUAAAUAUUGUUCACGGUGCAAAUUCCGCCCUUGCGUGGCGGGUUAUUGGACAUUCAACUGUGGAUACCGAGCUUAGCAAAUUUUUGUCGAACUCUUUUUGGAAUGGAAUGGAUUAAUACAAUUUGACUAAGAGUCAUCAUUUUUAUGGUUUAGGGUGGUGGCUGCACCCCAAAACCUACCAAGGAUCGAACCCCAGGUUUGACCCUCGGCGUGUCUCAUUUGAGCCGAAUUUCUUUUGGCAGUAGGAGAUGCAAUCCGUUCACGCUUCACACUGAAGCGUCAGUGACUUCGUCGAUCUCAAAACGUUUUCACGAUUCUGGUCAUCCGUGUGAGUGUGUGCGCACGGCGGUGUACGUCGUGUGUGAUCAUUGUUCCUAAAAUAAAGUACUUCCUUCGUCUAACAAAGGAUGUCUGAAUUUUGAUUAAAUUUGAAUGCAUCUAUACAUCAAGUCAUGUCUACAUACAUCAACAUUUUGACAAACUUGAGACAUCUUUUGCUGGACGGUGAAAGUAUAGGAGCCCGGGAAUAGCCGCAUCUUAUUACAAGCAAUUAAUAUUUCGACCCUGAACCAGUUUGAGCUUAACCCCAGUGGAUCGGAAUCGGGUUCACUGAGCGAGCGAGCGCUCCAUUACAGAUUUUUACAGGCACUGAGGCACCGUCUCUUCCUGCUGCCCCCCUCCGGGGAGCUAGCUGCGUGCUAUGGACCGCCCAUUCGUGGAACGGGCUGUACCCACCAAUACCUACGUACCUGCGCGCCUGCCAUGCCACCCCUCUGCCACGGGGGGCUGUCGGCUCCAAAGAAUCAUGCAAUAAUUACCAGCUUCUUCUAUCGGCGGCAUACAGAGGAGAGGAUUGAGCUUUUGAGCAUCUCGUGUGCAGAGAGAAUCUCUCUGCCCGUUCGCGCCAGGUGGAUGUAUUUACUUGCGCCAGGAGCAAACGAGCAACUCGUGACCGCCUACGCACGUUUCCCCGACUAGACAAGUCAAUUGGUGAAAAUUGGUGAAAUUGGCAGCUAGCUUAUUUAUCCCUUUAUCCAUUCGCACCCACCCCACCCCGGCCACCCUCCGCGCUGCGCAUGCAUGCAUGUCCUCGUGGGCUCUCGAGGACUUGAAGUACGUACGUCGCAUGCAUGCAGAUAAGACGGAGCUAGAGAGAAAGCCUCUUCUUUUCGCUCGUGGCCCGGCAUGUGCAUGCCAAUGGCAAUGCCAGCGUCCCAGUCAGCUACUCUCUCCGUUCCAAAUUCUUGCCUCAAAUUUAUCCAAAAAUAAAUAUAUUUAUUUUUUAAAAACGUUUAUAUACAUGUAAUAGUCCGACAAAAAUUAUGAAACGGAAGGAAUACUGACCAUAGCUAUGGUCAGUACAACUCCUAGUGACAAGUGCAAGCAGGGGAAGUUCAUACUCUAUGUGGGAGGUGCAAUGCAUCUCUCGCUCUAAAGACGUGGUACUCCUAGACUACAGGACUACCACGUACUGGAUUCAUCGAGAUGUGAUGGAACGGUGUACCAGGGUGCGUGGCAUGCAUGUAGACGCCGGGCCGAUCGAUGUAUGUCGAGAGCGGGAUAUGGACAACGAAAAAGGGUGUGGGCAGGGUAGGUGUUCGAUCAAAAUCCACGGACAGUUCCAAACUGAGGAGACCAUGGGGAAACUACUGGACAUCGGGGGUAUAGUGUUCACGUGACGUCAGAACUGGGGAGAGCUACACAACCUCAAGUCGUCGUCUUCUGGUAAGCAAGAGGACCCUUGUUUGGGAGCGCAAUGCAAGUGCAGAUGUUGUGCAGGCGCAGCAGAGACGUGACCCUUGCAGAAGAAAACGCGAAGAGCCGGGUAUAGUGGAUAUGUGGAUGCGUGAAUUAUCGUGGGCCGGGCCGCUUCAAAGCCUGGUAACGCGUGUCGUCGUGGCCUGGCCCAGAUUAUGCUGCUCAUCCGUCCAGCUCGCAAUACAUGAAGAGAAGUUCAAAAACCCGCUGUCCACUUUUGCAUUUAUCCAACGUUUCCUUGAUGAUUUGUCUCUCAUUCGUGAUGUUGUCCAUGCUGUGACACCGGAGCCUCCUCCUGGUGGUGGUCGCCUUGUCCCGCCCACCAACCGCUGGUCUCCUCCGUCGGCUGGUAUGUGUAAAAUUAAUGCGGAUGCUGGAGUUGCAAGGUCAGGUGCAGGUGGUUCUUGUGCUGCGGUCUGUCGCGAUGAAUGUGGAAGAUUCAUGAGAGCCUCUUCGAUUACAAUCGAGGGCAUGACCGACCCUACAAUACUUGAAGCAUUGGCAUGUAAUGAAGGCUUGUCUCUGGCCUUGGACCUUAACAUCUCAAAAGUUUGUGUUGUUUCGUACUGCUUAACGGUUAUCAAGAGUCUACAACAAGAUGAUCUUUGCUAUUAUAGUGCGAUCAUUAAGGAUAUUGUGGCAAGGAAGGAUCAGUUCCGUGAUGCUGUUUUCAGACGUGAGAAGAGAACUCUUUAUAGAGAUGCUCAUAAUCUAGUUAGAGCGGAGUUACCGCUUUCUGUUGGCCAUCAUAUUUGGCUUUUAAGUACCCCAUGCAUUACUUGUAUUCCUGUUCAAGUUGGUGUUGAAUAAAGCUGGCCUUUCCCCUAAAAAUAAAAUAUCCGUCCAGCAGAACUGAAUCCCCAAUAGCGCGGUUACAAGACAAGAAUGAUUAUGUAAUUAUGUUCCUUGUUAUCGUUUCACUUUGCACCACAGAAAGAGUGCUCUGUUUGGCUCCACCAAGGCAAAAGGAAAGAGAAACAGGAACCGAGGAGUGUCUCAUUGUCAAUUACUAAUUCAGCCAACGAACCCAUAAAACAUGUACCGACGCAAAUGCAAUUCAUCAGAAGUGUUCUUCAAGGAAGAACACAGACAGGGUAUCGGACUACCGGUGACUAUGUUUGGAUAUCUUACAUGCUCAGAAUGCUGCGGGCGAGUUAACUGGGAAAUAAUUGAAGAUGAAGAAAGGACACAGCAAGUUACAUAAGCGGCAACAGAUUUUGCUAGAGUGGCACAGCAGUGGCAGGUGCUGGAACAUGCACCUCAAAUACAAUCAGGAACUCGAACUGUUUAUAGCUUUGGACACUUUCUUCCAUCGCAAAACACUUCGAGUUUGUUCUUAUCAAGCAAAUGGUUUUCGAUUAGGCCCAGAUAUGACAUGGUGUUAUUACAUGCAUAACAGCGCUGGCUUGUCAAGCACCACUGGCAUACAGGCGAGUCCACUCCUUCGCUGCAAAGCAAAAAAAAAAUUGACAUGUUAGGUACAAAAAGCAAUGAAAAGUGGAGCAAAAUGACAUGCUAGUGUAUCAAAGUGCAGUGUUAGCGUGCGGCUUUGUUGGCUGAAUUUUCAGUUACCUGUCUCGACAGCUUCAGCUUCAUUGGAUUUCCAGUGUUUUGCCACGUUUUCUGAGAGCGGAUCAUCUGGAUUCGGAGCGCUCAGCAGUGCCUGAAUGCUGCAGACCAAACAUUGUAAAGAGGCAAAAAAAAAAGAGUAUACAAUAGUGGAUACAAGAAGCAACCCUCUGGAAAUACGAUAAUAUGAUACGAUCAUGAACUAUAAUGAAACUAUUUGGCCAAACAUGCCACGGAAGACAGAAGAGGUUGCUACCUCAAAAGAACAGUACGUAUCUGAAGAGCUGGGCUCCAUUUGUCCUUCAGGAUAUCGAGGCAUAUCCUACCAAGCUGCAGUGCAAGUCAAUCCGAAAUGAGAAACUGUUAUCGAAUGAAGUUCCAUUGAGAAUAUCAGUUCCCUACCUUGUCAAUGUUGGGAUGGUAUAUUUUUGUGAGAAACCUAACCUGCGUCAGGAAUAACCAAAGAGUGAUGUCCAUCAGAAAGAAUCACAACAGAGACAACAUACAGAAAAGUCAAAUAGAAUUGUGUAACUACUUUGGUUAGACGACAGUGUCACACUAAAACUAAAACAACCAUGUUGAUAUCCGUAAGAGUAAAACAGUCCAAGGACAGGAGUUGAGAACAAAAUAUUCAGCUACCUCUUAUUUAACAUGAUGGAAAUUACUACUCCCUCCGAUCCAUAUUAAUUGUCGAAAUAUUACAUGUAUCUAGACAAUUUUUUAGCCAUAGAUACAUCCAUAUUUGGGCAAAUUUGAGACAAUUAAUAUGGAUCGGAGGGAGUAUUAGUCUGAGUCUCAGAUGAUAUAUCACAAUGUCAGUACACUCCAAAUAUAGCAUUGCCAAUUAAGUAAAGUAAAGUACGGAACUGUGCAAAGGAGAUUAGUUAAGUGAACGGAGAGAGAAAUCUAGUAUGGAUACGAAAAGUAUUAACACAAUACUAAACAUGGGCAUUCAGUAUUCCUGAUCACAAAGAUGGUAUGCAAAUCUAUUAAUGGUACAUAUCAACAACAAACAUGGGCGCUGCCCAAAAUAAGAUGUCACAAUAAAUUGCUGGUUUCGGUUAACCACAGGCAUAAUUAAACGUCCAUCCCACUGUCGCACCAUAGCAUGAUAAAAUCAUUGCGAAGAUCGCUCUGCCAGAUUUUGAACUCAAAUUUCAGUUACAACUUACAACUAGGAAAUGAACCAAAUUCCACAUCAAGGAGCCUACCGGGACAAGAAAAUCCAUCACAAUAUGUGUCAAACUAAUAACUUCUUAAACAACCAUCCACUAAUACUUGAUCAAAAAAUUACUUUUGGAGCAGCCAUCGGAUAUUCCUCAGGUAAGAAAAGUUCAAGCUUGAAAACUCCACCUGUCCAACACAUAUUAGAAGAAAUAUCAGGAGGACCAGACACAGACAACUAAACAAAAUAAUGUUUCACCCAAUUAAAAAUGUCAUAAGCAAAUACAGUAUACAAAGAUAAGUAAACCAAGCUUAAAUAAAUAAGAUAACAUAGUGACAAAUGUACUGUCUAACAAUAGGAAAACAGGUCGUUCUGUGUACCAUUUAUCAUAUACAUGCACCGCAUUUCAUUACUCCAUGUUGCAUGGAAACAUGGUAGAUAGUUCCUUGUGCCGUAUAUCAGUAAACUUCAGUAAUCGCAAAGGUUAAGGAAACCCAAGACAUUCAAUUCCCAUAGGUUACUGAUAUAUGGUACAGUUGUAGAUCUAGCAUGUUAAGGAAACUACAAACUUGUGCCCCAUAUCAUAUCUAAACUAAUAGCAGGUAUAACUGUUGAAGUAUAAGGUGAAUUGCCCUCAUUUCUCCAUCAGCUUAGGCUUUUAGGGGCACUGGUUCGGCCCAUAUGCAACUCUCCAUGGUAUCCGAGCCAAGAGGUCCCGAGUUCAAGCUCAAUAUAAUAAAAAGGCACUUUUGAUCCAUGAGGGGGAGUGUUGAAGUACGAAAUGAAUUGCACUCGUUUCCCCAUCAGCUUAGACUUUUGGGUGAACUGGUUCGGCACAAGCAACUCUACAAAAGGCAGUCUUCCUAUGUGGAAUAACUUCUACAAAUAAAAAACCAGGUUCACUAGAGCUUAAGAUAACCGAUGAAAUGGACUUGUCAAGCUAUAUUUUGUGAUGGAUUCAACAAAGCAGAAUCUCAAAGUAUAGAAUCCAAAAGGCACAGAAGAGUACAAUUACCACUGGAACAGCUGGGUACAAGAUGGUCGGAUUGCUGGUCUAGCAAACAUAAGUUUAGAAGUGUAUAGUUCCGGCAGCACUAGAACAACACCUUUAUGUGACCAUCCUGAUAUGAUCAUCCAUCUGUGAUGUUUUACUACAUAUUUGCAGCAUUUUACAAACAAAAAGAGCCAUAGAUACGAAAAUGGGGACGCGGUGACCACAGUUACAGUCCUAAAUUGCCACAGAACUACGCAUUCGUGCUCCAAAGUAUUACAGGGUUAUCGGCAUACGAAACAUUCCAACAGAAAUAAAAUGAAAAGGAGGUUUUACCUUCAUAAGGAGACUGCGCCGGACCAAGGACCAUGACAUUGAAGUAGCGCAUGUUCUCCUCCGACGGCGACGCGCUAAUCCCCGGCGCUGCACGCACCCCCCCAACACACGAAUCAGCACAAACAUCCGAGGCUCGAACGCGGACAACACAACAGGAGCAUCGAAUUCUAGGAAAACGAACCUGGUUCGCUGAGCAGCCGCUGCGUCUCCUGCAGCAGAUCCAAAUUCCGAACAGAUUAGGCACCACGCACAAGGAAUAACCAGACGAUAAGGUUAUCAUAUCGCGUUAGAGUCUCAGAAACGGCUGUAGAUCUGGGGGGGUGAGGGGCGAUCGGAUCGCGGGGUAGGGCGCGCGCACCUUGAUGAUCCGGCGCGGGAGGUUGCUGUUGGCCAUGGAGUCCGGCCGGGGCUGGAGCGAGAGCCUAGAGGGGAGGGGGGGAGGGACCGCCUCGAGCUUCGCGCGGCGACGGAGGAGAAGACAGCGCGAGAGAGGUCAAAGGAGUCGUCGAUCUGUCGGGGAGGGCGAGCCGGGGGAGGAGGCGACGAACGAACAGAAAUGGGUCAGGGUCCGAUACUGUGUACCACGUAUUUAUAAACUCCACGCUACAGCCGCUGCUGCUGAUAUUUUCCUUUUCCUCUUGAGCUGGUGUUUUCGUUUUAUACUCUACCGACCUGUUUGUUUGUCCUUCUAUUUCAGUUUUUUUGCAUCUGGCAAUCUUAAAAGCAUCUUUUCUGUUUACACGUGAAGCUGAGAGGCACCUCCGAACAUGCUAAACACUGUUUACACAUGAAGCUGAGAAGCACCUUCGGACGUGCUAAACAGAAAAAGUGCUUUUGAGAUUGCUAAAAGUACCAAAAACUGAAACAGAAGUCCAAACAAAUAGGCCCAGAGUCUGCUGGAUUGUGAAUUUGAAUACGCACACGGCGAAAUCAAAAUACGAAGUCAUGGCCACUAUGUUUAAAAUAAAAUUCGUGUACUUGGACAAAACAGAAGUUGUUCGGUGAAUAAAAAAACCCUAGAAAUGAUUUUCCGACGUAAUAAACGGUAUAAUAGUACUACUAGUAGUACGAGGGCUGCUGCAGCGGAGAUUAAAAAAAAACGGUGUUCGUUUUAGGUGAGCCAGGGAGAGCAUCUCUCCACGCGAAGGGAGCACACAAUUUAUGCAUGUGCAGAGAGAGAGAGCACGGAGAAGAACAACCUUUGGGUUUGCCUAAUUGCAACGGCCAACUUGUGACUUUGUGUUGUGCGCGCUCGUCGUGGAAGGAUCUCAGGCGAAAAGGAAGGUGGGGGAAAGCUCGAUUAUUCUCCGCAGCUUCAAUCCCACGCUAAGCCGCCUGGUCGAAAAGGUUUGGCUGGCCAAACCGGUUUUGCAUGGUACUCCGUAACAUGUUUUUCAAGUUUUUUAGAACUUUGGAGGAACUCGAAACAAAUUGAGAGCAUACGCUUUCUAAGAGUUGAAAAGUAUUAUUUUCGAAGCACGGGCAGUCGGGCACGGGCAUCAGAGCAUCUCCGUUGCCAGUCGCUCGAAGCGAAGAGAAAUCACGCACUUCCUCUGCUACCGAAGCGAAGGCAGGAACAAGAACAACAGCGACGAGACACAGCCAGAAAUUCGGCAUAGUAUUUGCUCAGGGCUAGAUUCCACUGUAUUCGCUGUAAUCUGGUAAAGCAUGUCGCAUGUGCCCAGACUACAGGAGGAUUUCAAGACAAGUAUCCAGUCCUGUCUUAUUUACAACAGAUAGCGUGCAAAACUAUGCUCAAGAAUCAAGAUAGAUAAAUAACACUGGAUUUCCCCAGUACUUGCUACUUCACCGAACUACGGAGUACAACUGGUAAAGAAUAGUUUCACAAGUCGGAUCCUGAGAUCACAAUGAAAGAGAAGAUACAACAGGGAGUAUUAAAUCUGCACAUGAUCACAAGGAAAUCCAGAUGCACAUGAAUCCAGACAAUAGGAAGAACAGGGAACAGUUUGACAUAUUUUUUCUAAUAAAACAGAAGGUCAGAGUUGCAUGCCUACAUUGUCAACAAAAUAAUAGAUGAAUUGCACGAACAUACCUCAACGACUCAAUGUCAACAUGGAUUUACACUAACAAUUUUUAGUCUUUGACCUUUCAUACUCUUCAGAAUUAAUUAUUACCAGACUAAAAACUACAAUGCACCUAAGAACACGAGCUUUCGCUUCAGAAUAUCCCAAGGAUGGUGGGGGCAGGUGGAGCACGCCAUCAUUGGAGAGCAAGAGCAACGCCAUGUCAUUAACUGAUCAUCUUCAAAUGAUAAUCUGUAGAAGAGACAAUGGACAAGAGUCAAUUGAUCGCUUCACCAAACAGUAACAUUACAAAUUUGCUAUACAGGCUCCAAACAAACUGAUUUUCUAUCAGUCUACGCUUAAACAUAGCAGUUAACAGGGGCAAAGCUUAACACAGGCCCAUCAGCAAUCAUGCAGAGAACAAGGCAAGGCAGAUCAUCCAUGGGAAUCACACAACAAUCCACAAGGAAGCAUGCAUUACAUUCUUUGGAAAGCCAAUCAAGAGAAAUCUGGGUUCAGCGAUCGGAAAGAUUUACAAUGGAUAAGAUAUGUCAAAAUUUCAGUACUGGAAACUUCAGUUACAAAGCAAUUUGAUAAAUCUUACAUGCCAAGACAAGUAUAGAAGAUAUAUCUUUAUAUAAUAAUACUGACUCGUAAUUGUUAGGCUUACAGCAAAAAAAAGGUUAAGUUUCAUUAAACAAGCUUAUUUAUCGGUCUCUGAGGAGCUGGGUUACCUGUAGAUAAAUGGGACCAGAAACUAAGAGGUUACCUGUUGACUCAAGCUUAUGCUUAUUUUGGCGAUACACGUACUCUUAGGCUGGACAUAAUUCACCCUAACGAUUCUCACUAAGACAUGAGAAAGGAAUUCUAGUACGGAAAGGAAGUGAAAACCAGCGCAUGUGCAUCCAAGUGACUCCUAGUGAAACAGCACAGAGAGUGUCCCAGAUCGAUUUUAACUCUGAGUCACCAAGUGGUUCGUCGGUAUCAAUUUGAUCCUAACAGAUUCCAGGCAAUACCAUCAUAUGUCACCCAGUCAUGAUUUCCAGGAAAAGAAUAUAAGUAUUUUCAUCAUACAGACAGAAUUGAAGAAAAACUAUUAUUAGACCAUACAUUAUGGUCUUUCAUUUGUCAUGACAAAAAUGUACUCCCUCCGAUCCAUAAAAGGUGACGCCCAUUUUGUACUAAGUUAGCACAAAUUUUGUACUAGGUGGGCGACACAUUUUAUGGAUCGGAGGGAGUAAUAAGAAACACUAAAAGCUCAAGAUAGAAACUAUGAUUAGUUAGUUCAAUCUUUUAAUAACACCUAUGACAUAACAGAGCUGCACAAUUAUAAUUCUGUAAAUUUUAUCACACCCAAAAACCCAGAGAACCAAACGAUAAGAUACAUAAGUACUUAAAUCUACAAUCAUAACGAGAUGGUCAACAUAUCUCAUCAAUGCACAAAAUUAAAUAGAAAAACACACGACGAAAACAUCCACCAAACAUUAUCUACUGAAGACACAAAAUAUAAAUAGAAUCUCACAAAGCCUACACCAGGAUAGAUCUUAUAUGUGAAUAUCAAUGCUCAACAGGACCGAAAGCCUUAUUUAUGAAGGUUAUCGCACAUUUGGGCUAAGGCCAUUGUAACAUAAAAUAGUCCAAAAUGCACAACAUAUGGGGUGGUCGGACUUCGGCAACGAAACUUCAGACAUACUCGCUAGAUUUUCCGAAGCAACAGUAUCUAAACUUUUUUGUUGCUAAUCCUCCGCAGCAACUCGAGCCAAUUGUUUACCAAGAUCCUUAUCGAGAUUAGCUAGAUUAUUAAACCUUGACUGUAGAUAAACGGACAUGUAUGUAACAUAUUGCUCAGAACAAUCAAGUCGGGCUCACCCAAGCUUGUUUACACCCAUAUGAAGGAAAGGCUUAUUGAAUUGCAUUGUCAGGAAAUCAGCACUUCCCCAAACAAACUGAAAGUACCUUUAUUCCACAACCUAUAAACAUCAAUGGAUAUACUCAGAACACAACAGCUUACAUGUGUGGACCUUCCCACCAUUAAGGCCAAACAUAGUAACAAUAAGUUCCACUUAUUAAAAUGUCAUUGUAUACAAGAAUGUCAGAUUAAAUUAUGCCUCUACACAAGCAUACCAAUCCUGUCACUAUCACUGAAAGUCUGAAACAUUAACUAACAGCCAACAUCAUGCCACAUAACUUGUAAUUUUAGCACAUCAACAUUAGCAUUACAGAAACAAUAGUAGCCACAGAUCACAUAAACGAACAAAAACAAUCUACAGCAAUGUUCUAAACUGAAAUGCUAAAACAUACUUUACCUAAAACCCUCGUCCGCAUCAGAGGUAAUUGGAGUUGGAAAGGAAAGGCAGCGCAGCAACGGAUGAAAUCAGCUCCACUCCACCAGCACCAUUGGAUGCAGCCCCUCCGCUCUUCUUCGUGCGCUUCACCCUUGCGAGCUUCACGUGCGCAUCGACGAAGUUCUCCAUGCGCUUCACCUCCAGCUGCUUCAGGAAGUCAAUUCGCUCGCGUUCCAUCUCUAGCGAAUGCUUUUGUUUCGCACUCUCCACGCGCUCAUACAUCUCUGCAAAAGCCUCAAUUGCCCUCGCCAGCUCGCUGACACCACUAUCCCCAUCACCGCCAGCCUCGCGACGAAAGGGACGCUUGUUGCUACCGCCGGAGCGCGCCGACGAGACAGAACGCGACGGUGACCUCCGCAAGUUGUCAUGGUGGUUGUUGUUGUUGUUACCACCAGGAUGAUCACCAGAGUCCUCCGAAUCAGACACCGCUGCAGCGGCGGCAGCGGCUUCCUGCUGGAUGAACGCAGCGGCAGGGAGCAGCGCCCCGCGGCGGUAGCUGGGGAGGGGCAGAGCCAUGGGCGGGGGCGGGGACGGCGAGGAAGAAGGCGACGGGUACUUCCUCGCGGCGGUAGAAGAAGGAUGGACGGGCAGGGCGAGGUGCGGGGCCAUCGCCGGCGAGGGCCGCUUGUUGGCGGCGGAGUUGAGGGUGGGGCCGACGAGUCGGUCGAGCUCGUCGAAGAAGCUCCAGCCCGACGGCGCGCCGCGGACGCGCUCGGCCUUGUACUUCUUCUUGAGGGUGUCGACGCGGUUCUUGCACUGCACGUCGGUGCGCGGCGGGCGGCGGCGCGCGGCGGCCCCGCGGCGCGAGUUGACGGCGUUGGCCACCUCCUGCCACUGCUUCUGGCGCAGGUUGCCGCGGUUGAGCUCCACGUAGCGGCUGCCCCACGCGUCCACCAGCGCCGCCGUCUCGCCCUCGCUCCAGCAGUCCUCCCGGUAGGGCAGGUUAGGGUUGGGCGGCGGCAGCCUCCCAAACCCUCCCCCUCCUCCUCCUCCCCCUCCUCCCGCCGCCGCCGCAGCAGCAGCCGCAGCCAUCUCCCUCACCUCCAUCGGAACCAGAUCUCGCAGGAGCAAACCCUAACCCUAGCUAGCCCGCCCGCCGAGAGAAGAGGACCGAGCGAGCCUCGGGGAAGUCGCGCGUGACGGUGGGCUAUGUGAGCGGUGGGGGGUUCGGGGUUGGAAUAAAAGGACACGGCGAGGGAAGGGGGGAGGUGGGGUCGCCGGCCGCGAGGGGUCCGGGUUCCGUCCGUCACGCACGCGGCACGUGACGCGUGACCGGCGAGGGGGGGGCGGCAUCGGCAUGGCAUAUCUCGCUCGCUCUCGUGUGUCGUGGGUGACCGGAUUCGGAUCGGAGACGUGCCGCCGUUGGAUUGCGUUUGACCGGGUAACCGGCGAUUACUUUCGGGUUUCGGAGGGCGGGUGGGAUAAUGACAGCCAGCCAGGCACAGGCAAAGCAGAGCGCGGCGACAGGCGACAGCCGGAGACCGGACGGAAUACGGUGGCUGGCGCGGGGGUGGGAAAUUACCGCGUUGCCCCUACCCCGGGGAGCAGGCCGGGGCGGCACGCGGCAGGGGCAAGGCGGGGAUUUCGCGUGGGGCGGCGCGGUGUCAGGGGGUGAGCUGGUCGCCGUUGGUCGGUUUGCGUUUCGGGGCCGCCGAAAGAGGGGAGAGGAGAGAGAGAGAAACGCGCCGAGGAUGAUGGGGAAGGGAGAGGAGACUCGCGAACCGAAGACACCGCUGCUCCUCGCUCUGUACUCCAGUCUAGGCUUCUAGCUAGACUCGGCGCGGUGGAGUGGGUGGGUGAAGAGACUGAGGCGCGGGGCCCGCGUGCAAGCAGGCAGGGCGGGCAAUUAUUGUCGCCUCUGGUGCCGUCGCUCGGUACAGAGGACGGACGGACGGACGGCGUGGGCAAAAUUUAAUCGGCGUGCAGCAGGUGCCGGCUGCCGCCUGCAGGCGCCGGUCCUUCGGAUUGAUCGGUGGAUGGAUGCACUCGCCAAUGGCAAUUCAUCCAUCAAACAUCAUUCGUUACUGUAUAUUUUGUGGCAAAUCAAGAUUAGAGGUUCAUCAUCCGUUUACCGUUUUGGUUUGUCCCCUGGCGUCAUCAUCACCGUCUGGGCUUUGGAACUGACAAUAUGGUUCUUUCGGUGAAAUUCAGGUGAAAGUAAAACUCCACCGGUAGAUAGCAGCGGCCAUGGUGCCGUCGUGGGAACAGAGCAGUACGUACGUUACGGGCUCGCGUCAAAUCCUCGACGGAACCGUGCCCGCUGCACCGGUGGGUGAACAGAACACCAUAAAUCCCUCGCGGCCGUGGAGAGAAGUCAGGGGAACCGCGUGUACGUACGUGGUCCUCUCCUGCUAGCUAUAGCUAGGCUGCCCCGUGCGACCGGCGGCGAGGAAACGGCACGCUCGGGAGCCGUCAACAUUGAAUCGGAGGGCCGGGCGGCCGCGAUAGCGUAGCGACCAGCGAGAUACUCAGUCAGUACGGGCUACUUCGGGCUGUCACGCACGCACCGAGCCGGACGGCCGGGCCGACGCGUCGGGCUUGGGAACCACCGGCGCCGCAGGGGCGGGCUCGGACCGCGUCCAACGCCGCAGGCUUUGCAAAGCUUGCGUUGCGUGUACCCCACGCUACCACGCGGGUCCCCUCCACCAAUCAAUUCCAGGCCGGACGGACGGCCGGUACCGUGUACCGACGCGUCGCCCGCCGGAUCUCCGUGGCGUUUUCCUUUGCCUUUAGUUGUGUACCCGCCCCGCUUCACGCCGGCCUUGUGCGGCAGUUGUGUACACACACGCACGCACUUGUACUACUACUGGUGGCCUUGGACUUUGCUGGUUGCUGGUGCGCACCCAGCUUUUUGCGAACGGUUCCGGGAAACGCCGGCGGAAACUUGUGCGGCGGGUCGGUCGGUUGCCGGGGAAGGAAGGAUUCUUCACACAAGCAACGUGAGAUCUGACCAAGGGGAGCAGCAGCCAGCCAGCACGAGCAGCAGUUCGGCGCUGGAGCUACGCGCGAGCUGGGGCAGGAGCUACACGCCAUGUACGUUGCGUCCCCGGGCCGGUUUGAUUUACGACCGGAAGAGCCGCAGCGUUUCCGGCGCGAUGACCGGACAAAUUAGCCGGCUUGGCCGAUGGCUAUACUAUAUCGGAUUGGACAUAUGGAGUGAUAGUGCUCCCGACAGGUAGGAGACGGACGGACGAGAGCGAGUAAACUGCUGCCUGCGACUCUGCGAGUCCUGCCGUGCACGGCUCCAUGGACGGACCGCACGUCCAUGGCCUGUGUAGCUCCGACCGCACCGGACGCAGGCAAGCGGGACGUGCUGUUCAUCCUGCAGACGGGACUGACCCAAGUUAUUGGAGACGCGUCGGCAUUGAAGCCUUUUCCAUUCUCAGGAGCAUGACGUAAUCACGGGAUCACGCACGGCGUGGGCAAAAGAUUACCAGCCGCGCCGCGCGUGCCUGACUGCCUGUGCAGCUGUGCUAUUUUGAGUGCAGAAUACAGUUCUUCAGAACCGCGCCUGUUUUUUGAGGCUAACUGAACAUGCAGUUCCAUACAAUUUCAAAACUCUACGUAUAAUACGGAAGGGUAAAAGAUACUGAGGCGGUCGAGACCACUGUCGCGACACGCGAAGCCUGAAAUCGUAGCGGAUUUACUUUUUCUUUCUCUCGGGGCAACGUCCAGCAACAGCAAGUGACUGCUUGCCGGUUCAUCUGGCCGGACUGAAGGUGCAGAACUAUCUGCUUCCAUGACCAUGUCAUCUUACUGAACUGAUGUUGAUGUUGAUCGAACGGAAACUUGGUAUUAGUGCAAUUUGCAUUUGGUAGACGGGGGGUGGGAUGAAGAAGCUGCAGCGCAUUGGUCAGGGCAGCAGAUGGAAAACGCUGGAGACGGAGGUCAAAGAAGACGCGCGUAAAGGAACCGGUCAGAACAGUGACUUCCUUACUGGAUUUAGGUGACAGGCUGAAAAUUGUUUAUACUUUGGCACGUUGCCUGGGACACAGCAGUGGACAAGUUCGGUUCGGAGAAUUCUAUCCUCCAGUCAUGUUCCUUCUCGGUGAUUAACUAUCAGCUCAUCUGCCAAUCACAUGUUCUGUGGUGACAGCAGCCAGCAAAAAUAACCGAACGGAUUAGUGAUCGCCUAGAUUAUGUAGCUCAAUUUGCAUGCGUAGUUUCAAACGGUAUAAAACGAUGCCUUCGAAGAAAUGGGAGUAGUAAAAAACAUGUGGACUCGAUUUGGGCCGGGCCGCGAUAUCUUCGGUUCUCCACCCUCUUACGCGCAGCGUUUCUUCUCAGUGUCUGCUCAUCACUUGCGUUAGCUUGUAUUGUUUGCCUUCGCUUAAUAUUAGUGCCAUGUUAUCAUGGCUCCAUCGCCCAGUCGAACGCCGGCUAUCAGUUCAAAUUAUGGAUAGUCUAUUGGCUUUGAAUAAUGCGUGUCCUUGCUCUGAUUCCGUUGAGUGUCAUUCCAAGAGUAGGUAUCUAUCAGAAGAAUUUUCAGCAAAUGUCAGUGCUGCUUGAAGUCAACGAGUACUAAUCACAACAUGUGUGAACAUUUGCCAUCCUCCUGCGGUGCACUCUGACCUGCAUUGGAGAGCUGUAUUGCAGCCUGAAGGUCUUCUUCUCUAUUCUACUUCUACAUAUCUACCCACGUGUAUAUGCAGUAUCCUCCGAUGGUUUAGCCCAUGGGCAAUGCAGUUGUCUGCUUCAAUUCUUGGUGUUUCAGAACUAGUAGUACUACUAGAUAUGAUCAGUAUGCUGGGGACAGGACAGUAUGAAUGUACGAUAGAUAAGGUCCUAGAACAUGGGCCACAGGUUAUGCAGAUCGCAGACACGAGUGUUUGGCUGGAACUGAUCUCCGAAUGCGAGACUCCGAGAAACGUUGAUGCCGCUUUCUGUCGAUCACCUUGAGCCAUUGUCCGUCUGCUGGCCUGGCAGGGAAAGUCUACGGAAUGCCAUCUCGAAAGCCAUGGAAAUUCUGUUUUGCCUGACAGAACUCUGGCGUACAUGAGCAACAGCGACCGGAGCGUGGUUUGCCUGCGUGCUUGACUGUAUGGUCACGACGAACACGAGGUGGCGACCAUCCGCCGCGUUAUCCAGGACUGCACCCGUCAGAGAAGGAUCCUUCACUUUUUGGGAAUCCAAUCACUUCGGGAUCCAUCAGAGCAGAAGACACGGCCAUUUCGCCGGCGGCUUUCCCCAUACAGUGCACAUCUCGUGAACUUCCGUCCAUAUUUUCUGGCCAAAUUUGCAAAGGAUUUGUGCUUUUCAGAGUGCAGCAAACGUAGCAAUACCAGGAAACUACGGAGUAGAAUAGGAAGGAACGUACGCCUGUUUGUUCGGGCGGCAAAGUCAGAGCGACACUCUCUCUACUUUGUUUGUUCGUCAGGCCAGGACGCCCGCCAAACCCGACAUGGAUAACUCCAUUAUUGACGAUGGAAAGUAGAAAUCUGACCCCGGGGGCACUAGCAGACGACACUAUCCACAUUGUCUUCACACACCGAGAAUAUGACAAAAUAACAUGCAUUCUUAAUUCACCUAUCGUCCCCAGUACACACCAUCAGAAAACAUCUUCGAUCUUCUAAGGCGUGGAUGCAUUAGGGGUGCGUAUAAAAAUAAUCAUACUCCUUCCGAUACAUAAAAAGUUUCCCACAUUUAGUACAAAAUAUGUACUCCCUCCGUCGAACAAAGGAUGUUUCAACUUUGAUUAAAUUUGAAUGCAUCUAUACACUAAGUCAUGUCUAGAUACAUUUAAAUUUUGACAAACUUGAGACAUCUUUUGUUGGACGGAGGGAGUACUAAUUUUAGUACAAAAUGUGUGACACUUUUUAUGAAUGGGGGGAGUAUCUCCUAGACUCUUUUGAUUCAAAUGAGUUAAUCCUUCAGAAUUUUUUCUAUGUAGGCUUAUUUCAUUCGUAGGAUUAGAUUUUAGUGGAAAUUUGCCUAUGGUUCACUUUGCACUGCAGUGAUGCAAACCAGAUUCCGCGAAAACCCACUUCUAGUUCAUUUUUCAAAUCUUCAAUUCAAAUUUUGAGCAAAAAUUUGGAUAAAAGACUUGAGAAUUGAACUAAAAGUUGACCAUCAAUGGGAUCCCGUUUGCAUCUCUACUGCUCUCAAUUCCAAAGUAAAUUUUCCAUCUAAAUCUAAUCACUUGAAAAAAUUCCUUUGUUUCCAUGAUAACUAUACCAAUGCACGUAAUGUUUUUCUCUGUUUUUCCUCUAAUGCUAGAUUGAGUCUGUUUUUCCUUUAAUGUUUUUCCAACUCGAUUAGUUUAUUCAGGUGGUUUCUUCCUGUAGAAAACAACAUAUCAUGACAUUUCAAUCUUGUGUUUGCUAUUUCAGGGCUCAUUCACUCUACAUGCGUUUUAGAUGAUUUUUCUACAAGAUUUCAACUCUUACACCUUGUUUGGCACAUGUGGGUUUCUUACGUUUUCUAUUUCUACUCUACAAUCUUAAAAUCAUGUUCUCCUUCUGACCUUUGUUCUCAAAUUUAUCUAAAUACGGAUGUAUCUAUGUUUAAAAAAUGUCUAUAUAUAUUUAUAAUAUUUCAGUAACUAAUAUGAAUCGGAGCAACUAACUCGAACGAGCCCUCGGUGUUUGAAUAUUUAAAUACUCCUGAAUGCAAGUAUAGUUCUGCACUCCUACUGCAGCUUGCUACCACGAAACUAAACAUUUCUCUUUCUGCAGCCCCCGACUCGAUCUAGCCGCAGUCCAUGUCGUUCUUUUCGCCCUGGCGUGUGCAAGAGUCGAACCCAUAGUGUGAACAAUUGAGUUAGGCACGAGCCGGAGAGGAGGAGAAAGGACAAAUUAUUGCUCAGAUUAAUCAUCACCUCGAUCGUUGCGGCGCAAUACCGUUAUAUAACGACGGAAUACGGGCCCACACGUCAGUGUAAAGCGAGCUGCUUGCCGCUUUCUCCCUCUUGCGUGACGCCGUCGCCGUCCAGAGCCAUCUGGCCACCGGGCUCCCAGCCCCCCACAGAUGUGCCCCCUGCAUGCGCGCCAUGUAUCAGCCUCUGAUACGUCAGGCCAGGAACCAUCCUCAGCCGUCAGUUCGUCCAUCUCGACGGCUGCGAUCGCGCUGCCGCCACUUAUAAAUAGCACCGAUGCACGCGCGAGAAAGUCCGUUUUACCUUGCUGGGGGGGGGGGGUUUUACUUACAUGAGCGCGGGAAUGGAGGCGGAGCUGGAGGCGGCUCAGCGGCGCUUCCGGCUCUGGUUCCGCGGGCUGCGUUCCCUGCGGCGGGACCUCCGGUCGGCCCGCUGGGCCGGCGACGACCCGGCCCAGCUGGGGAAGCUGGCGGGCGGCUUCGUGGCCCACUUCUCCGACUACUGCGCCGCGCGGGCCGAGCUGGACCCGGUCCUGCUGCUGUCGGCGCCCUGGGCGAGCCCCGCGGAGCGUGGCGCCGCCUACUGGCUGGCCGGGUGGCGGCCGACCACGGUGGUCCACCUGCUGUACACCGAGUCCAGCCGCCGGUUCGAGGCGCAGCUCCCUGACCUGCUCCUGGGCGUGCGGUCGGGCAACCUGGGCGACCUCAGCCCGGCCCAGCUGGCCCAGAUCGACGAGCUCCAGCGCCGCGCCGUCGCCGAGGAAGACGCGCUCUCAAGGGAGAUGGCGCGGCUGCAGGAGGGCCACGGCGUCGUUGGCGGAGACGGGGAUCUGGACGUGGAGGGGAUCGUGAGGCGCGCCGGGGCCGUGGUGGCAGGGGCCGACGCGCUGCGGCUGCGCACCUUGAAGCGCGCCGUGGAGAUCCUCGAGCCGGCGCAGGCCGCCGAGCUGCUCGUCGCCAUGGCCGACAUGGAGAUCGGCUUCCGGGAGUUCGGGCUAAAGCACGGCGACGGCGGUGGCGAGCCGAGCCGCGGCGCGUAGGCAUAGGCGUGGCGCGGUCCAGAGAGCAGAUCCUCAUCCGCAUCGGCGGCUCGGCCCAGUUUUUUUCUUCCAAGUGUUUGCGCUGGUUUGACUGGGACAGAAAGACUGCUCACUGUUGUAAUCUUGUUGCCGUGACGAUUGUCUUUGCCGAACUGUCUCGCGGUGGGUGCUGCGUCGUAGCUGGACCGUGUGCGUGUGCGUGUGCGUGCGCGUGCGCCUGCUGGGAUGUCGUGUGAGAAAGCAAUAAAAUGCAAGGAAUGCAUGCUUGGUUUCGUUGAGAAGUCAUAUUUUGUUUUCGAGCAAGCGGUUUUUUUAACAUCUUUUCCGAUAAAUUGGCUGUUUGUCUGUUCACUACAGAAGACCCGUCCUUUUAAAAACGGUUUUGCUAUUAAUAAAUCCAUGUUUUAGUUAGAGUAGUCAUAGGAUUUUAAUCCAAUGAUAGCAAGUGAGAGAUGAGAGAACGAGGAUGACUCUCAGAUCUCCAGCAGUUAUGAAACGUCGACUGAUAUUUAAGGUUCAUUUUUUAAAAACUUGCGACUUAGAAAUAGCCAUACCCAUUUAAAAAACGUGUUAAAUCUUAUUAAAAUAAGAUUCUGAUCGAUAACUUAUUUUUAAUAGGUAUUGCUACGGAAAAGUUGUUUUUCUAGUUAAAGAUAAGUUGAAACACCAACUGUCAUAUCUUGAUCCAACGGCGGCACAUUGAAGAUGGGGUGUAGCUGCUAGCUUCGGCAUUGAAGAUGGCGUCAUGGUAGGGAGAAGCUAUCAAGUUAUCCGAGAUAGAGGAGGCACUGAUGGAACACAUCCGCUUGCUAGGCUUGUAAUCGGACAAAUAAUUCAAACAGCUUUGCUAUUCAUAAGACAAUUGAGAAAUAAUUAUUUUCAAGCCGACGCUAACAAUCGUUUAAUCCAAUCUCUGAUAUGUGUGAGAUCUAUACAAGUGUUGUUGACUGAAAAUAACUGCUUCCUCCGCGCCUGGAUACUCGUCGUGGUCCGGAAAUCCAACCAGUUGUUCGUUCGAGCCAGAUCCAAACGACACCGGACAGACAACCACGGGCGGUUCUACCGUGCCGCACGGUCACGCGCCCAAUUAACCGGCCACACGGCCAAGCGAAUCCAGGAUUAAAAAUAGGAAUCGCGUACAAUUACCGGCCACCCAGCCAGGCAGCCCGCAACGAUAAACCAGCAGUCUCCCGCUCCAUGUUUGGGAGCCAUGCCCAACUACAAACCCAACGUUUCCAAGCUGGCCGCCGCGCCCCGCGACAUCCACACGGCAGAUUAACCCUUCUUCUCCUUUCCUUCCUUCCUCCCUCUCCGCGCGCGCGCGACCUCCCGCAGACCCGCCUCCGCGAAUCUAGCCACCCCCGCGCGUGCGCCACGCACCGUCCGUCCGUCGGACCUCGGCCGGGCCGGCCCGCGGUCGUCGGCGCGCGGAGGGCGUUCGUGAGAAUGCGUGCGGCGGCGAUUGGUUGCUAGCUAGCUAGCGGCAUGCCUGGCAUGAGCGCGUGAUGGCGCCGCCGUUCCUGAAGACCGGGCACGGCCGCGACAGGUUCUCCUUCAGGCGGCGGAAAUCGUCCUCCUCCUCGUCCUCCUCGUCGACGCCGUCUUCUCCGCUCUCGGUGUCGUCCACAGCGUCGGAGGACAUCGCCGACCCGGGCAGCCCCAUGGAGUCGUCAGCGACGACGGGCAAGACGCUGCCCUGCGCCCGGCGGGCGCUCUCGCGGAGCAGCUGCGGGUCCAGGGGCAAGCUGUCCGUCGACCUGAUCCCGCCGCCGCUCGCCGGCGGCCCGUCCGACGCGCCCAGGUCCUCCACCUCCGCCGCGCCGCCCCCCAAGCCUCCCCCCCGCAACGAGGGCCCGCCUUCAGGUCUCACCAUUGUUAAUUUUCUAGUGUCUGUCUGACUUUCUGUCGUCAAAUGCAGAGAAAUGCCUUGUUAUGUUUUCGUGAUCGAUUGCAUGUAUCCAGAUGCUGACAUCGUGAGGGACAAGUUCUCCAAGCUGCUGCUGGGGGAGGACAUGUCCGGCACCGGCAAAGGGGUGUCCUCUGCCCUCGCUCUCUCCAACGCCAUCACCAAUCUUGCAGGUAAUCUCUCCCUUACCUUCCAUUUCCGAUCUUUCCAUUUCCAAUAACAGUCCCUGUCUUUCAAAUCUUCCCAUUCUGUCCGUUGGGUUCUGAUGGAUACUGACACGAUCAGCUAUGAUUUCUUUCUCAUGACGUGGCACAUUGCAGCUUCCGUGUUCGGUGAGCAGCGGCGUCUCCAGCCGAUGGCCGCAGAGCCGAAGGCCCGAUGGACAAAAGAAAUUGACUGGCUUCUGUCCGUUGCCGACCACAUCGUCGAAUUCGUUCCUUCACGUCAGGUGUCCGAGGAUGGCUCCACCAUGGAGGUCAGAAACAAGAGGAUCCUUGCUUAUCACAAGUACCUGGAUGUAGUUCUGUAUCACGGAACAUCUUUAUGCAAAUCCAAUUACAGCGGUGCUAUUUUUCUCUCUCUCCCCCCAAACAGAUAAUGAUGACUCAGCAGCGUAAGGAUCUGCAGAUGAACAUCCCCGCACUGCGCAAGCUCGACGGGAUGCUCCUUGUAAAGCUCUGCCACAUUCUUCUUUGAAAUCAUUUACGAGAAUGACAUGCGUGGAGAUACCUGAUGAAUUGCUAAUAUGCUAUGGCUGCACAUUUCCUGUUGUGGGGGCACAGAGCUAUCUUGACAGCUUCAGGGACAAGCAGGAGUUUUGGUACGUGUCGAAAGACGCAGAUGACUCGGAGAAGGGAGACGCGCCGAAGCAGGAUGACAAGUGGUGGCUCCCGACUGUCAGGGUCCCUCCUAAUGGUCUGUCGGACUCGUCGAGGAGGUGGCUUCUACACCAGAGGGAGCUCGUCGGCCAAGUCCAUAAGGCAACAAUGGCCAUCAAUGCUAAUGUUCUUAUGGAGAUGGAUGUUCCAGAAGCCUAUAUGGAGUCUCUGCCUAAGGUGACCCAUAUGAACACAGCAACAUUGCAUAACAUUUUUCUUUACUUCGGUUCACUGCAUUUAGAGGGAUCGAGACUCACUUUGACAGCAUCUUCUUUUUUUAUGCUUGAUAGAAUGGAAAGUCUAGCCUUGGAGACUCAAUGUACAAGCUUAUAACUGACGAAUAUUUUGACCCAGAAGAACUCAUAGCAUCAGUAGACUUGUCAGCCGAGUACAGCAUCGUUGAUCUGAAGAACCGAAUCGAAGCCUCGAUUGUCAUUUGGCAGAAGAAAAUGACGCAGAAGGAUGCCAAGAUGUGGGGGCAUGGUGUCAGUCAUGAGAAGCGGGGACGGUUUGAGGGGAGGGCGGAGAAUGUUCUUCUCCUCCUUAAGCACAGAUUCCCCGGAAUUUCUCAGUCAGCUCUGGACAUAAGCAAAAUCCAGUACAACAGGGUACUGGCAACCAUCUUCAAUUUUCCACUGUAUUUUCGGAUUUCCUACAGUACUUUAUUACUCAUGCUCAUUGCAUACAUUUUCUCGUUGUGAUUUUUUUGCAGGAUGUUGGCAGUGCCAUUUUGGAGAGCUACUCCAGGACUCUUGAGAGUCUAGCAUACACGGUUAUGUCUCGCAUCGAAGACGUUCUUCGCGCCGACUCCCUUGCUCAAGACCCCAAGAACGCGGAGGCGACGAGAAUGCCGAGCUUAUCAUCAGAUGACACAGACACGGUCGUCCAAGAUGCCAAGGACGAGGUGGAGAGGCUGGGAAGAAUGGAGCCUCUGAACUCGACACUAUUCGACUACGUGGGCCCACGGGACGGAGAUAUCGGGCCCAUGAUGUCGGAUUCACAGGAACCUCGGGGUGCAAAGCUGUCAAAGGUUUCGUCGAUCGCAACCAAGAGGUUCUCCUACCUAGAUAAGCUUGAGAAUUUGGGUGGAACAAGGAGCCCCAUAUCUAGACACUAGUCGCUGCCGUAGGGGAAAAGACGAUCAAUAUGGUGUUGAUGUUGCUGCAGAGACUCCGGGGAAAACUGCACGUAAAUAGCUCCGCAAAAACUGAGGGUGCAGCAUGCAUUGUGAGGUUUAUGUAAGCUUUCAAGCUUUCAGGCACCAAUACCUCCAAUUUGGUGCAGUUGCCAAGACAAUGUGAUGACGAUUCUCCUGCUAAAUUUACAUGAAAUAACCACAAGAUUCUGACACUGGACCUGAAAAUGGACCUCCAGAUUUUCUUACUGUACUUCUGUAGCAAAGUUUUGUGGUUCCAGUAAAGUGUUUGUUAUCUUAGACUUGACUUGCAGACCAUGCUUGGGUUCGGCUAGUGUUCUCCCCACGUACAAUUUAAGAGGGUAAUAACAUAUCACUGAACUUGGAGAUCGAUCUGUGUUAGCUUCUGGCGUUCUAGAUCGGCACUGUAAUAAGUAACUGUAACUGUACCAUGGCUCUAUGCAUUGGGAAAUUAAAACCACUCGUAUGAGUAAAUCAAUUUACAGGAACAAAUGAGCAGUAAAAAGCAUCCUUCCGGUUGCUGAUAGUACGUGCAGCUAGGCACGCCAUAUGAGUACAUACAACGAAGGACUUAACGUCCAGAUACGCAGAUCCAUGGUACACAAGCACAGGCAUAUGCAGGAACAGAUUCAGAGAGAGAGAGAGAGAGAAAGAAACUGAAACCAAAGCUUUAAUCAAAUCAGAUCAGAUCUUGCCGCGUGGGCCGGGGGUGGGGGGAAGCUGCGGCCCCUUCUUGAUGGGCAGCAGGUCCGGCGACGUGGUGGCGCCGAGGUAGGCGAUCAGGGACCCGCCGCCGAGGAGCAGGAACUUGAGCAGCAGGCCGCGCUUGGUGAAUGGCGCCGCGAAGGUCUGGAAGAACUUGCUCUGCAGCCCGUUGUAAGGGGACGGCGCGUCGGACCCGUACAGGUCCCACUGCCCCGUCGUGUUGCCGAUGUCGUCCAGGUCGAAGUACACGCUCUUCUCCCCGUACUUCGCCUGCACCGCGACGCCUCGUGCAGGCCUGCAGGCGUACGCGCACGCGUAUAUAUACGGUUAUUUAUACGUAUGUACAUACGCUCGAUCGAUGACAUAUUAGCUCGCUUCACGUGCGUACCUGCGGGUGGAGCGGCAGAGGGAGGACGGCCGGGCGGUGGCGGCGAGCUUGCGGCCGGACAUGGAACUGCCGGCCAGGCCCUUCACGGCGGCCGACGGCUGGACGGCGACGAGCGACACCAUUGUUGUAACAGUGGGAUGUGUUCUGAGCUUCUUUUUCUUUUUUUUUUUGCUGCG